rnacentral:lncRNA from 1 species
UAACUUAUUUAAACUACGGAGAAUGGACUAUUUUGAAUCGACUAUUCAAGUUUUCAAAAUUGUUAUUUUUUCUACAUAAUUUUUUAAUUUGUUUGAUUUGAGUCAAUUAAUAGUACGCCGACUUUAAAAAUUAAGCUAAUUUUUUUAAUAAAUCUCUAGUUGUGAGAAUUACAUUAAAUAUACUAUCUAAAUUUGUAAAGAUAAACAAAAUAUGUUAACUCACAUAAAUCAAAUAAAGUAAAAGAGUAGAUAAUAAAAUUAAAACUGUAUAAGUUUGAAUAGUGGAUUCAUAAUGAUCCAUAACUCAGCUCUAUAAAUUUCUAUAAUUUUUUUUUUUAAAAAAAAAUAAGUGAGAUCUUGAUCAUAGAUAUUGCCCCACCACCUAAUAAUGAACCCCAUGCUUUUGGCAUAAUGACAAAUGACUCCAUCCAAAAAGGAAAGCACAAAAUUUUCUUUUUCAGAAAAAUCAAAAGAGAAGAAAUCAUUACUGAAGGAGACGGAAAAGCGAGAAAGAGGAGACGAUCAUGACCUUCUAUUUCUUUAAAUGAUAAAUAAAUAUAAUAAAAGUAACAGUAGGGCGAAAUAUGCAUGUCGAAUCCCUCAACAAUAGGCUAUAUGAAUUAUAUCCUCCAACUUUUUUUUUUUAAAGGGCUAUAAUUUUGAUUGGCCGACGUGAAAUAAAUCUUUAAAUUUGUUUUUAUGUAGGUGACAUUAUAGUUUAGAUAGGAAAUUACUGCUUUUCUAUUAUGCAUUUUAAAAUAUAAAUUUUUAUUGACGUUUUUUAGGGGCCGAGUCAAGUUGAUAUGGACUCGUUAUGCACUUGUCAAAAUUGGAACUAUAGUAUCCACUUCCCGGUUAGCAAUGCUCAAAUUUUAUAUUACUAAAAUAAAAUUUCCAAAUUAAUUUUAACAUUUCAUACAAAGUAAUAACUUUAUUUUAUAGUAAUUAUUAAUAAUUAAUGAAAUCUGCAACUUUAUAAAGAACAGGCAAAUUUAAUGUACGCACUAUUCAAUUUCAAAGGCUUUUAAAUUAGCUACAAGAGAUAAUCAAAACUAAAAAUAAUUAAGAGAUAUAUGUCACAAUGACCUGUAAACUACAACUUGUACAGAGGUUCCUAAACAAUUUUUACACCUCUAUAAAAUUUUUUUACCAAACAACCAACAACAAGGGUCAUAUAACCUUACAAUCCUCCGUUCUGGAGUUUAGCCAAAAUUUUUAAAUUUUUAACAUUAAAAAAAGAUUAAUAUUAAAAAAAAUAAAGUGAUAAGCGUAUCAUAAAAUCUACCGUGCCUGGAUAGAAAUAUUAUAAAAUUAUAACUAAAACUUAGUGUAAAUUUUAUUACUCAUGUUGUCGGACAAAAAGCUGAAAAUUCAAUUCUUUGUGUGUGUGUGUGUAUAUAUAUAUUAAGGUUAUUAUAUUUUUAUGAACAAAAAUUUCUUGUUGGCAUAAAUUAUUUUAAAGGAAAACUUCAAAAACUCCCUCUGUGGUUUCGUGUAUUCUCAUUUUGUGCUACCCUGUGGUUUAAAACGUAUCAAUUUACCCCUGUGGUUUCGUUUUAUCUUUUUGUUAUCAAUUUAUUAUUUUUUUUUUAAAAUCAGUGACAAAGUAAAAUUAAGGAUACUAAAAUGACUAUUCGAUAAAUAUAGAUGGUUAUCUGAAGUUUUUUGUAUAUAAUUAACGAAAUAUUAACGAAAAAGCUUCCGAAAAGAUAAAAAUGAAACCACAGGGGGUUAAAUUGAUACUUUUUAAACCACAGGUAGCAAAGUGAAAUGCACGAAACCACAGAGGGGUUUUGAAGUUUCCCUAUUUUAAAUGAUGAAACUUUCAAAUUAAAUACAUACGCUAAAUAUGAUAAAAUAUUUAAUUUUUUUUAAAAAAUAUUUAAGUUUUGUGAAAUUAUAAAAAACUCCAUUGAGCAUAAAAUGAACGAUCAAAUUAAAAAACUUUCUAAAAUAAAAAAUCAAAAUUUUUAUUUAAUAUCAGAGUUAUAGAUCUCAAUCUAAAUAGUGAAUAAAAUUUUCUAUCUAAAAUUCAACCGAUUUUUAUUUUUUAUAUUUUAAAUUAGAAGCAUCUUAUACCUAUCGAUAAAAAUUAUCAAUUUAAAUUUUUUAAUCGUAAAAAAUAAUAUUAAAAAUUUAAUAAAAUUUAAUUUUUUUUUUUUCGAUUUAAAAUACUUCUAAAUUAUGUUUAACGCAUGACGUCGAUAUCGAAAAUUUUAUUAUCAAAAUGACUUAUGAAUAACAAAAGUUGAUUGUACUCCAAAAAUAAUUAGCCGAGUGCGAAAAUUACAUAAAAUACGCUAACUAAAAUAUAUAUAAAAAAAUAAUAUAUUAAAAUUUUAAAAUUAAAUCAAAUAAAUUAAAAGAAAUGUAUAUUAGAAUCGAAUUUUUGGCAAGAAUAGAUAGUAUACCCAAAAUAAUUCCUAUUAUUACGUAUAUCUUUACUCGAAAAGAGAAAAGAAAAGAAGAGAAAAACGCUUGCCUCAAUUUCGGUGUUUGUGGUUUGGGUUAGAAGGCAAGCUCUUGGAGGGGAGGAGGCGAGCGCCCGAGGUGCUCGGAGGGCGCGAAUCCUGCGGGCAAAUUCGCCCGCUUCACGAUCCUCCUCAUGUUGCUCCUGCAAGUCUGCUGCUGCACCACGCCUUCACGGGCGCGCUUCUCCUCGCUCAUCCCACCUCCUCAUGACAUAAAAUUUCUUGUUGGCAUAAUUAUUUUAAAGGAAAACUUCAAAAACCCUCCCUGUGGUUUCGUGUAUUCUCAUUUUGUCACCCUGUGUUUAAAACGUAUCAUUAUCCCCUGUGGUUUCGUUUUAUCUUUUGUUUAUAAUUUUAUUAUUUUUUUUUUAAAAUCAGUGACAAAGUUAAAAUUAAAGAGAUACUAAAAUGACUAUUCGAUAAAUAUAGAUGGUUAUCUGAAUGUUUUUUGUAUAUAAUUUAACGAAAUAUUAACGAAAAAGCUUCCGAAAAGAUAAAAUGAAACCACAGGGGGUAAAUUGAUACGUUUAAACCACAGGUAGCAAAGUGAGAAUGCACGAAACACAGAGGGGGUUUUUGAAGUUUUUCCUAUUUUAAAUGAUGAAACUUUCAAAUUAAUACAUACGCUAAAUAUGAAAAAAUAUUUAAAUUUUUUUAAAAAUAUUUAUAGUUUUGUGAAAUUAUAAAAACUCCAUUGAGCAUAAAAUGAACGAUCAAAUUAAACUUUCUAAAAUAAAAAAUCAAAAUUUUUAAUUUAAUAUCAGAGUUAUAGAUCUCAAUCUAAAUAGUGAAUAAAAUUUUCUAUCUAAAAUUCAACCGAUUUUUAUUUUUUAUAUUUUAAAUUAGAAGCAUCUUAUACCUAUCGAUAAAAAUUAUCAAUUUUAAAAUUUUUUAAUCGUAAAAAAAAUAAUAUUAAAAAUUAUAAAAUUUAAUUUUUUUCGAUUUUAAAUAUCUCUAAAUGAUGUUUAAGGCAUGAAAUCGUCGAAUCGAAAAUUUUAUUAUCAAAAGUGACUUAUGAAUCAAAAGUUGAUUGUACUCCUAAAAAUAAAUUAGCCGAGUGCGAAAAUUACAUAAAAUACGCUAACUAAAUAUAUAAAAAAAAUAAUAUAUUAAAAUUUUAAAUUAAAUCAAAUAAAUUAAAAGAAAUGGUAUUUAGAAUCGAAUUUUUGCAAGAUAGAUAGUAUACCAAAAUAAUCCUAUUAUUACGUAUAUCUUUACUCGGAAAAAGAGAAAAGAAAAGAAGAGAAAAACGCUUGCCCAAUUUUCGGUGUUUGUGGUUUGGGUUUAGAACGGCAAGCUCUUGGAGUGGAGGAGGCGGUGAGCGCCCGGAGGUGCUCGGAGGGCGCGAAUCCUGCGGCAAAUUCGCCCGCUUCACGAUCUCCUCAUGUUGCUCUGCAAGCUCUGCUGCACCAACUGCUUCACGGCGCGCUUCUCUCGCUCAUCCCACCUCCUCCUCUCUGCCUGCCUCCCCCCUCUUCUCCUCCUCCCCCUCUCCCUCCUCCUCCCUCGCCAAUGGCGCCGACACCGCCGACGAGCCCGAUACCUCCUUCCCCUUGUCCACACGGAGAAUCUCGAGCGUCCGCGACGCCCUCUUCUGGGCGAGCGCGCUCCCGAGGAGCGUGAGCUCGAGGAGGGCGGAGACGACCCCGGCGUCGGCUAUGGCGGCGCGGUCGGCGACGCGGCCCUUGUGCGCCAUCACCAUGAGGACGUACGCCGCCUUGUCCUGGCACCCGGGCGCGUCGCACCACCCCAGCGCGUCCACCAGGAUCGGGAACGCCUCCGCCGCGUUCCGCCCCACCGCGCGCCGCCCCUCCGGCGCCGCCGCCACCAGGUUCGCGAGCGUCGCCAGGGCGCGCUCGCCCGCGCCGGCGUCCGCGUCGCCCGCGGCCGCGAGCAGCGCCGGUACGAGCCCCGCGUCCACCAGCCGCGGCGCGUUCGACGCCGCGAUCGAGAGGUUGAAGAGCGCGCGGAGCGCGUCGGAGCCGCUCGGGUUGGGGGUAGGUUUAGGAUAAGGGUUAGGGUUAGGGUUUUGGAAGGCGCGCACCAGGAAGGGGAUCGCGCCGGAGGAACCGAUGAUCGGCUUGUUCGAGUCGAGGGCGCUCAGGCUGAGGAAGUUCGCGACGAUCGCCUCGGAAACGGAAGCGGAAGCGGAAGGGGAAGGGGAGGCCUCGUCCUCCGGGGAUCCGAUCAUCCCCAGCAUCUUGUGCACGGCGCCGGCCUUCACGAUCGCCGCCUUGUUCCUGAACCAAAAUGUGGAUCGACCGAAACCCUAAGAAAUGUCGUUUGGAUCGAUCUGAGGGGACGAGAGAGGUUAGGGUUAGGGCUCACAUGUCGUUGCCGAUCCCGAGGUUGAGGAGCGCGUAGAGCGCCGCGAUCCGGAGCUCGAGAUCGUCGGCGUCCAGCAUCCCGAUCAGGGGCGGGAUCGCGCCGAGCAUCGCCAGCGUCUCCCGCGCCUCGGCGUCGUCCUUCGCGAGCCGCCGCACCUCCUCCGCCGCCUCGCGCCGCCGAUCUCCGCCGUCGCCGUCGACGUGGAGCCGCCGCACCACGCGCUGGAGCUCCUUCAGAGCCUCGACCUUGCGCCGCGCCUCCUCUUCCGCCGCCGCCGUCGCCGUCGCCGUCGCCUCAGCCGCCUCGUCGGAGCCCGACUCCGACGCCUCCGCCCUGAGGAGCUCCGCGAGCCGAUCGGACCUCGGCCGCGGCAUCGGCGACGAGAACGCCGCCGCCGCCACGGCGCAGCCGCGGCCGCCGCCCCUGCGGCGGCGUGGGCGAGAGACGCCGCCGCACAUGAGCGCCUCGAGGAGCCUGCGGCGGAGGGACGCCGCGGAGAAGAGCGGCCAUAGUCGGAACCCCGCGUCGCCACGAUCGCACUUCGCCAUUGCCGCUCCCCAAUGCAAGAACCUGCUCCCCCUCUGUCGAUCACUACGUCACAUCGUCGGAGGAGGAGGACAAAAAGCAGUGGAUGCGACAAUGGCUUGGAGGAGAAGCCACGGCCGUAGAACACUCGGCUUCUCUUAAACGCAGCUUUUACUUCUCUCUCCAGCAUAUAUAUAACGCGGCGCUAUCCUCGAGGUGCGCUCUCUCUCUCUCUUCUCUCUCUCUCCUCUGAGCUCGUCCUUACGGGACGGGCGACACGAUGGCUCUCGCGCCCUGUCGGUUUUUGAGUGCGUUAAUUGCACUAAAUAUUUCACUUUAGUCCCUCAACACUCUAAUAUUUACAACCGAGUAUAUAUGCUCUUUUUUUUUAUUUUAACUACUAAUUUUUAUGACAAAUUAUUUCAACAAAAUGCUAGGUUCUCGUGUUGAAGUUAUAAUUUAAUUUGAUAAAAUAGAUUUAAUAAAAAUAAUUAAUAGGAUUUGAAAAUUUAAACAUAACACGUAAAAAAUAAUUAUUACUUUCGUCCAAGUAUAGUUAUACAUACUAUUGGUCAUCAGUUUGAAAAUUUAAUUAUUUUUUAGUUUAUUUAUUUUCUGGGUUAAAAAAUAGUAUAUAUUUGAGAGAUUUUGAGAUAGAAGGAUAAAUCUAAAAAAUAAUUAAAUAAAAAUUUAUUAAGACCCUCUUAUUUGUAACUAUUUUUAAAAAAUUAAAUUAAAUAUUUUAAAAUGUAGCUUUAAUAAUUUUAUUAAUUAAUCUAUUUUUUAUGAUCAUUGUUGUUAAAUUUAAUAAAAAUAACCUAUGAAUUUGCUAAAAUCUUUGAUUUAGCCGAUAAAAUUUAUUUAUUUGAAGAGAAUUCAAAAUUAAAGGAGAGUAUCAAUCCAACCAAAAAAAAAAAAAAGUUGAGAUGCGAUAUUCUAAAGUCCUAUAAUUUAGGGGUCUCGGUGCAUGUUUACCAAUAUUAAACUUGUGCUAAUGAUGCAAUUAAAGCGUUUGAGAAAUAUAUUUUUAUAAUUAGGCUUGCAUUUCGAGUAUUAUUAUUGAGGCUUAGAAGUGUGUUAUUAAAUAGUUAAAGUAGUCAGAGAUAAUUUGACUUUUUCAGAGGGCCGGGGAGUUAUUGGGUCGUGCUUUAAAAUAAGCGCAGGUUUAAUAGAGAAAGGCUGACUUAGAAAGUACAAGUUAGGUCAUGGAUUUGGUUCGAUUUACAACAAUGCCACUGUACCUGCCAAUAGUGUAAUACACUAUUAAAUAAAUACUCGCUCUGGCCACGGUGAUUUAUUUAAUAAAGGGAAAACUUCGAAUACCCCCUUGUGGAUUAACUUUUUCUCACUUUGGUACCCUAUACUUUAAAGUGUAUCAAGUUAGUACCUUGAGGUUUCGCACUUUCUCACUUUAGUACCUUGUGGUUUAAAGUGUAUCAAGUUAGUACCCUAUAGUUUCGCACAAUAUUUCAUUAAAAGAAAAAUAAAACUACAGGGUAUUAACUUGAUACAAAAAUAAAAUUAAAGGUGCUAAUUUAAUACAAAAAUAAAACCACAAAAUACUAACUUGAUACACUUUAAACUAUAGGGAACUAAAGUGAGAAAGUGCGAAACCACACGAUACUAACUUGAUACACUUUAAAUCAUAGGAUACUAAAAUGAAAAAGUACGAAACCACAAUGGGGUUUUUGAAGUUUUUCCUUUAAUAAAUGAUCUGAAUACGAGUUAAAUUUUUCGACUUGAAAAUUUAAUAAGUAGAACAUAAGUUGAGAUCAGUUCGCUUAUUUUCGACUCGAUAUAGCUCGAAUAUAUAUUUAUUUUUGCUUUUUAAAUUUUUAUCCCAAUCUGAAUAUAAAGAGAUUUAUAUUUUGUAAAUUUAAUUAUUAGAUUAAGAUUUUAAUUUUCUACAUUUUUUUAAACUCAUAUAAUAAUAAAGCCGGUAAUUUAAUUUGUUGUUCGCAAGCUAGCUUGUAUUCGACUCAUUAAUAAAUAAGUCGAACACGAGUUAGAUUUUUCAGUUCGAAAUUUUAACAAGCCAAUUAGUGUGUGGCUCGUUUAAUAAACGAGCGAACAUGAAUUGGCUCUAGCUCAUGUUUAACGGUCGUAUCUGCAGGGAUAAAAAUUAGUAAAAUAUUACCUAUACAUCUUUUAUAAUGUGUAUAUCUUAUAUCGAUGACAUUUUUUUAGUAAAUAAUUUUUUUUUUUAGAGAAAAGUAGCAUGCUAUUUGUUUUAUUUAUUUCAUUUAGAAAUAAAUAUAGCUAGAAAUAUAAAUCAGUUAGAAUUCGAAUUUAGAAUCUUGGGUGAUUUUUUGCCACUUACGCUAGAAACAAUGGGUUUAGUAAAAAAUUGUUAGAUAGGAAAAAAUUAGGACAUAUAUUGUAUACCUGCAUGAUAGGUGUAUAGAUAGUAUUGCUCUAAAAAUUCUAUAAGAUCAGCAUCAAACUAAAAUACGGUGAAGCUGGAUAUAUGUCAUGCACGCGUUUCCGGGAACGAGUACUAUUAUUUGCGAGUACCAAACAAAAUAUUUGAAAAUAAAGAGAUGAAUAAGAUCUGAUUCUUCUUUUUAUUUUCGAAUCAAACCGGGGCUAAAGAAUAAAAAUUAAUAAUAAUAGCAAACUAGGCUUGAGCAAUUAAUUUUUAUAAUUCAAAAUAUGACUAUAUUGUACGGACACGAGGGUGGGGGGCAGAGUUAUUGUUAUGCGGACGGUGCGAUGGACGGGGAAAUGGGAACCGGAUUGUAUGGNGACAGUAACAAUAAUAAAUAUUAUUAUUACUAUUUUUUUUUUUUUCUUGAGAUGGUGUGUGGUCAAGCGUGGUGGAGACCAUAGUUAGUUAGUGGAGAGUCUGGAGACUUGGAGUGGGUGGGGCCCGAGGUAUGGUGUUAAAUUGAUAAUUAAUUACAGAUUGGUCCUUAAAUUUUUCAGAUUUUUCAAUUCAGAUUUUUUUUUAUAAUCAUAUUACAAAUAUUUAUUAUGAAUUUCAAUGGAAUCACUUUUGACAAAAAGUUAUUAUCACUCGGCAAAAUCUAGAGCUUCCGCGGCAUUAAUUUGAUAAAUAUUGGUUAAUACUAACGGAGUAAUUUGGCUAAAUUACAAAAAAAUUUCUGUCAAUACCGAUUUUUUUAUUUUUUUUUGUCAUUCAAAAAUCUAUAAUUUGCUCUGUUAUAAAAUAAAAAUAUUUAUAUGAGAAUACAUUGUGACAAGAUAAUCAAAUUGUCCUCAACUUCUUCGGGUUGGGUGUGGACAGAGGGUGGACGAGGGCGAGAGUGAGGCGGCGGAGGCGAGCGAGAUCGUGUGUGUGGACAUGGAUAGAGAUGUAGGUGAGGGCAAAGUGGCGAAGGGCGAGGUGGUGCGAUCGAGAUCGGAGAGGAAGGAUGAGGGUUUCAAGAAUAUUUUGGGUAUAAAAAAUAUGAUAUAAACAUAAUCCAAACAGUACUGUAACGGAACACUUACGGCGGGUCAAAAUGAACAUUUUUUAUUUAAUAAAGAGACAAAAUGUAGGUUGAGAGAUUUUCUGUAAUUUAGCCUAGUAGUUUUUGUUAAAAUAAAUAUUUUUGAAUACUAAAUAUUAAGAAUAUGAUCUGAAAAAGUUGGCAAUGGAAAAUAAAAUGAUAAUAAAGUUGUGGUACAAUAAACUCUUUAAAUUUUAAAAAACACCAAGUCUCUAUUUAAAAAAGCUUAUAAUUUCUGCAAAAUCUUGUCGGAUUGUUGGCACUAACCACAACUCAAUUAAAACGUAACACUUUCCACGAAUCUCAAUUGUGAUUUGGUUUAACCAGCCUCACGUUACUCCGAAUAUAACUCGACCCAAUAUAGCCUUCUGCCACACAUCAAAAUGCUAGGGCGCAAAUUCAUAGCAUGCGAAAAUUAAAUCCGCGAUCUCUAAUUCUGAUACUACUUAUAAAAUUAUUGGCGCUAAUUAUUAACCCCAAAAGCUCAAACUAUUAGAAAUAUACUACCAACUUAGUUAAAACGUAUAGAUGCAACGCCCAUGAGUCUCUAUUAUGACUUGAUUCAAAUAAUCUCACAUUAUUUUGAAUAUGACUCGGCCCAUUCUAGCCCACGUCAUUUUGAACUUAACUCUGCUAAUCUGACUUUCCGCCGUAAGUCAGAAUGUUGGCUCCUUUAAGACGACACACCUUAUCUAAAAAAUUAUAGAAUUUACUAACCUAUUUUAAAUUUUAGAUAAAAAGAAUAAUACCACAAGUAAAAUAUAGAAGGCUUUUAGCAAACUACAUUAGAUAGUGUCAGUUUAUUUUUAACUAUUUGAGAGUUUUCUUGAAUGAUCGUUACGUGAUUUGAAUAGUGUGACUAGCGUAAGUAUGGGAUCAAUCAAUUGGAUAAAAUUGUAUUUUACGGCAUAAUUUUUAAUAUACAUUUGUAUGCAUAAAUCAGUGUCGGUGCUACUACUUUUUUGCCGCAGUGCUGAGCUGUACGCUUGUACCUAUGUUCCGAAUAGUCAACAGCUGUUGACUUUUAUUAUGUGAAUCUGGAGAUUAGAUCUAUCAAUUUUUUAUUAAAUCAUUGUUCCGUUGGGUAGCGUUUGAUUCGAGAAUAAGGAGAAAAUAAGCCCUCAUUCCCCCUUUGUUCCCAAACGUGAUAUUUGGUAUUCAGGAACAGCAGUUCCGGAAAUUUCAAGAACAAUAGUUCCAGAGUUUCAAGAACCCUUUUUCUAAAAUAAGCUUGUUCCUUAAUGAGAACAAAAUUAAUUAAAAUCUAAAUUUAAUUUUAAUUAACCAGUAAAUUAUUAAUUAAUCUAAUUAAUAUAUUUAAAUUAAUAUUUAUUAUUUUAAUAAUUUAUUAAUUUAUUAAUUUAUUAUUUAUAAUUAAUUAAUAAUAAUUAGAUAAUUAUUAUAAUUAAUUUAUUAUUAUUUAUAAUUAUUUAUUAAUAAUUAAUAAUAUUUAUUGUUAUUUAUUAAUAAUUAUUAAUAAUUAUUAUCCUUAAUAAUUAGAUAAUCGAAAGUAUUAUUAAUUUAUUAUUUAUAAUUAAUUAUUAAUAAUUAGGUAAUUAUUAUUAUUAAUUUAUUACUAGUAAUUAAUUAUUAAUAAUUAUUAUUUACUAAUAAAUAUUAAUUAUUAUUAUUAUUUAUUAAUAAAUAUUAAUAAUUAUUAUUAUUAAUAAUUAGAUAAUCGAUAUUAUUAUUAAUAAAAAUUAGAUAAUCGAUAUUAUUAUUAAUUUAUUAUUAAUAAUUAAUUAAUAAUAAUAAUUAAUAAUUAUUAUUAUUUUAUUAAUAAUUAUCAAUUAUUAUUAUUAUUAAUUAGAUAUUCAAUAUUAUUAAUUUAUUAUUUAUUAAUUAAUUAUUAAUAAUUAUUAAUACUUAUUAUUAUUUAUAAUUAAUUUAUUAAUAAUUAAUUUAUUAUUUAUUUUUAAGUAAUAUUUUGAUGUUAAUUAAUUACAUAAUAUAAUUUUAAUUUUAAAUUAUAACUCUUAUUCCUCUUAUUACAAUUUAACCAUCCAAAUACUAUUUACCUUAUUACUAGAAACAACCCAAUUUUCAUCUAAACGCAAAAUUGGUCUAGUUCCUGCUUAUAUCUGAACUUGUACCUAUCCCUGAAACUAGCAGUUCUUACUUAUACCCGAACCAAACGCAGCCGAAAUUCGAGUUUGGUUCGGAAACGAGAGGAAUAAAUUCUUGUUCCCUCUUUAUUUCCGCAUGUAAUUUUUAGCAUUGAAAAAUAAUAGUUCUCAUAUUUCUAAAAUAAAUUGGUAUAAUUCGGUAUAAAUUUGAAAUUGUUGUUCCAUCCUUUUUUCUAAAACAAACAUAUUUCCAAAUGAAAAUAAGAUCAAUUAAAAUUAAAUUUUAAUUUUAAUUAUAAUAUUAAAUUAUUAUUUAAUCUAAUUAAUAUAUUUAAAUCAUUAUCCAAUUGCUUUAAAUAAUAAAACAAUUAAUUAAUUUAUUAUUUCUAAAUAAUUAGCUAAUUAAUUAUUAAUAAUUUAAUAUGUAAAUUAAUAUUUAUAUUGAUCAGCCAUUAAUUUUUUUAUUAUCUAAUUAAUUUUUUUACGAGUUAUCAAAUUAAUAUAAUUUACUAACUAAUUAAAAAGUUAAAUUAUUUUUAUAUUAAAUUAAUUAAUUAAUAUAUUUUUAUUAUUUUAUACAAUAUUCAUACUUUCAUUCGUUAGUUUAUUCAAUUAUUCCAAUCUAACCAUCNUUUCGAACCAAACGGAAGCUAAAGAAUAAAAAUUAAUAAUAAUAGCAAACUAGGCUUAAGCAAUUAAUUUUUAUAAUUCAAAAUAUAACUAUAUUGUACGGACACGAGGGUAGGGGGCAGAGUUAUUAUUAUGCGGACGGUGCGAUGGACGGGGAAAUGGGAACCGGAUUGUAUGGGGACUUUUUUUUUUUUUUAUUGAGAUAGUAUGGGGUCAAGCGUGGUGGAGACCAUAGUUAGUUAGUGGAGAGUCUGGAGACUUCGAGUGGGUGGGGCCCGAGGUUGCCCUGUUAAAUUGAUAAUUAAUUACAGAUUGGUCCUUAAAUUUCUCAGAAAUUUUAAUUCAGAUCUUUUUUAUUAUAAUCAUAUUACAAAUAUUUAUUAUGAAUUUCAAUGGAAUCACUUUUGACAAAAAGUUAUUAUCACUUGGCAAAAUCUGGCGCUUCCGCGGCAUUAAUUUGAUAAAUUUGAUAAAUAUUGGUUAAUGCUAACGGAGUAGUUUGGCUAAAUUACAAAAAAUUUUCUGUCAAUACCAGCUUUUUUAUUUUUUUGUCAUUUAAAAAUCUACAAUUUACUCUGUUAUAAAAUUAAAAUAUUUAUAUAAGAAUAUACUGUGACAAAAUAAUUAAAUUGUCCUCAACUUCUUCGGGUUGGGUGUGGACAGAGGGUGGACGAGGGCGAGAGUGGGGCGACGGAGGUGAGCGAGGACGUGUGUGUGGACAUGGACAGAGAGGUGGGUGAGGGCCAGGCGGCGAAGGGCGAGGUGGUGCGAUCGAGAUCGGUGAGGAAGGAUGAGGAUUUUAAGGAUAUUUUGGGUAUAAAAAAUGUGAUAUAAACAGAAUCCAAACGGUACUCUAACUGAACACUUACGGCGGGUCAAAGUGAACAUUUUUUAUUUUAUAAAGAAAUAAAAUGUAGGUUGAGAAGUUUCUGUAAUUUAGCCUAGUAGUUUUUGUUAAAAUAAAUAUUUUUGAAUACUAAAAAUUAUGAAUAUGAUCUGAAAAAGUUGGCAAUGGAAAAUAAAAUGAUAAUAAAGUUGUGGUACAAAAACUCUUAAAUUUUAAAAAACACCAAGUCUAUAUUUAAAAAAGCUUAUAAUUUUUGCAAAAUCUUGUCGGAUCUUUGGCACUAACCACAACUCAAUUAAAACGUAACACCUUCCACGUAUCUCAAUUGUGAUUUGGUUCAACCAGCCUCACGUUACUUCGAAUAUAACUCGACCCAAUAUAGCCUCCUGCCACACAUCAAAAUGCUAGGGCGCAAAUUCACAGCAUGCGAAAAUUAAAUCCGUGAUCUCUAAUUCUAAUACUACUUAUAAAAUUAUUUGUGCUAAUUAUUAACCCCAAAAGCUCAAACUAUUAGAAAUAUACGACCAACUUAGUUAAAGCGUACAGAUACAACAUCCGUGAGUCUCUAUUAUGACUUGGUUUAAACAAUCUCACAUUAUUUCGAAUAUGACUCAGCCCAUUCUAGCCCACGCCAUUUUGAACGUAACUUUGCUAACCUGACUUUCCGCGCACAGGUCAGAAUGCUGGCUCCUUUCAAACGACACACCUUAUCUAAAAAAUUAUAGAAUUUACUAACCUAUUUUAAAUUUUAGAUAAAAAGAAUAAUACCACAAGUAAAAUAUAGAAGGCUUUUAGCAAACUACAUUAGAUAGUGUCAGUUUAUUUUUAACUAUUUGAGAGUUUUUUUGAAUGAUCGUUACGUGAUUUGAAUAGUAUAUAUAUAUUUUUCGAGAGAUAGAUAGCACACUAUUCGCUUCAUUUAUUUCAUUUAGAAAUAAAUUUAGCUAGAAAUAUAAAUCAACUAGGAUUCGAAUUUGGACCUCGGGUACCAAUCAUCAAAUUUUUUGUCACUUCUCUAGGGUCGGUGUGAUUUGAAUAGUGUUACUAGCGUAAGUAUGGGAUCAAUCAAUUAGAUAAAAUUGUAUUUUACCGCAUAAUUUUUAAUAUACAUUUGUAUGCAUAAAUCAGUGUCGGUGCUAUUACUUGUUUGCUGCAGUGCUGAGCUGGACGCUUCUAGCGGUGUUCCGAAUAGUCAACAGCUGUUGACUUUUAUUAUGUGAUUCUGGAGAUUAGAUCUAUCAAUUUUUUAUUAAAGCAUUGUUCCGUUCCGUAGCGUUUGGUUCGAAAACAAGGGCGGAAUAAGCCCUCAUUUCCUCGUUGUUUCCAAGCAUGAUGUUUGAUAUUUGGGAACAGUAGUUCUAAAGUUUCAAAAAUAAGCCGGUAGAAAGUUGGAACUGUUGUUCCACUUUUUUCUUAAAACAAACUUGUUCCUUAAUGAGAACAAAAUUAAUUAAAAUCUAAUUUUAAUUUUAAUGAUAGUAAAAUAUUAAUUAAUCUAAUUAAUAUAUUUAAAUUAAUAUUUAUUACUUUAAUAAUUUAUUUAUUUAUUUAUUUAUUAUUUAUAAUUAAUUAAUAAUAAUUAGUUAAUUAUUAUAAUUAAUUUAUUAUUAUUUAUUAAUAAUUAUUAAUAAUUAUUAUCCUUAAUAAUUAGAUAAUCGAUAGUAUUAUUAAUUUAUUAUUUAUAAUUAAUUAUUAAUAAUUAGAUAAUUAUUAUUAAUUAAUUUAUUACUUAUAAUUAAUUAUUAAUAUUAUUAUUUAAUUAUUAAUUAAUAAUAAAAUAAAAUAAUUAUUCUUAUUAAUUAGAUAAUCGAUAUUAUUAGUAAUUUAUUAUUAAUAAUUAAUAAUUAAAUAAUAAUUAUUAUUUAUUAAUAAUGAUUUAUAAUUAAUUAUUAAUAAUUAGAUAAUUAUUUUUAAUUAAUUUAUUACUUAUAAAUAAUUAUUAAUAGUUAUUAAUAAUUAAUUAAUUAAGUAAUAAUUAUUAAUAAUUUAUUAAUAAUUAAUUAAUUUAUUACUUAUAAAUAAUUAUAAAUAAUUAAUAAUAAUUAAUUAUUAAUAAUAAUUAAUAAUUAUUAUUAUUUAUAAUUAUUUAUUAAUAAUUUAUUUGUUAUUUAUUUUUAAGCAAUAUUUUGAUGUUAAUUAAUUAGAUAAUAUAAUUUUAAUUUCAAAUUAUAACUCUUAUUCCUAUUAUUCCAAUCUAACCAUUCCAAUACUGUUUAUUUUAUUACCAUGAAUGACCUAAUUUUUAUCUAAAAUUAAAAUUGGUUUAGAUCCUGCUUAUAUCUGAAUCUGUAUUUAUCCUUGAAAUAAGCAAUUCUUACUUAUACUCAAACAAACGUAGUCGCGGGAAUAAAAGAGCGAAUAAGAAAAAUAAAGGUCUUACUUCACUCCUUAUUUUUAAAUAAAAAGUUUAUUCUUCUCUUAAUGGAUUAUUUAAGGAUAAUUUAUGAUAACCUGUUAAAUGAGUGAAAUUGUUUCUCAUCUUAUAUUUAUAUACUAAUUAAUUAUAAAAUAAAAUAUUACCAAACUAAUACAAUAACUAGUGGUUGAGGGUGGUAGCAUCAAACUCUAAUAACCCAGUGAACAAUUACCCAACUCACUUCUGAUAAUAAAACGAUGUUUAUAAAUUAUCAUAGAGAUAUUUUAUAGAGAUAUAUUAUGUAGAGUUAGACUGAAAUAUUAUCGGUAGCAAACGAACUCAUUGUCACCAUUUAUUUUCGAUAAUAGAGCCUUCAAAUCGAUGAUCGAUAUCGUUAAACAUAAUCUAUACCAUUUGAAAUAUUUUGAAACCAAAUUUUAAAUUUUUUCGACAUUAUUGACCUAAUGAUCAAAGGGUUUCAAAAUUUAUAAUUUUAAUAGUAGAUAGAGGCGUUUUCUCGUUUAACAGUGUAAAACUAUCCAAAUCAAUUAAAUUUUGGUUAAAAGAUUCUUUAAACUAUUUAAAAUAAAAUCUGUACUCUUAAUCUUGAUUACAAAAUUUAUAUCAUCACUUUUUAGAGGAUAUUUAUUUUAGCUGUUCAUUUUUACGUCCACUUGAUGGACAAGAGAACAAUAUCGAAAAAAUAUAAAAUUUGAUUUCUAGAUACUUCAAGUGGUAUAGAUAAUAUUCAACGGUGCAGAUCGUCGAUUUGAGGCUUAUCAUCGAAACAAAUCAGUGGCAAUGGAGCACGUUUGCUACCGAUAGUAUUCCAGCUCAACUCAUAUUACAUAAACGUAUUAUACAAAAUAGUAUAAUAGGUACAGCUACUGCUGUAACCUAAUAGUUCAACAUCUCGUGAAAAAAAAACUUAUACUUAAAAAUAUAUGAACUAAAAAUUUUUAUAUUAAUUAAUAAUUGAGUUUAAGCAUUUUUGACUUGAAUCGUAAUAUUUUGUACAGGACGAGAACACAUAAAUUUGGGCUUUGGGAUGAACACGAGCCGGAUUUCACAUAAUUCCAAAAAAACCCAAAAGUAUUUUGGGCUUAGAUUUUUAGGCCCAGCUCAAGACCCACUCACGUCUCACGCGCGACGUUAUCCAAAUGGAACAGCGUAACUGCCCUCUCGAAAUAUCCUCCAGGAGCCCAUCUAAUCGGACGACACGUGUGCGUCAAGUUUCGGGCAUAACCGACUCCGGCGGAUCACUGUACCCACAGUAUCCAUCUCCUGUUCUCGUUCUCCUUUCCCGGCCCUUCCCCCGCUCUCUCGCGUCGACCUCUCUCCUUCGCCCCCUCUCCGCCACCAUGGGAGCUUAGCACCCCACCCACCCGGCUCCGUGGACUCCCAAACCCUAAUCCGUCCCNAUUAUUUAAGAAUAAUUUAUGAUAACAUGUUAAAAGAGUGAAAUUGUUUCUCAUCUUAUAUUUAUAUACUAAUUAAUUAUAAAAUAAAAUAUUACCAAUUAAUUUAUUAUAUAUUAGUUUUUUUUAUUAAUUAACUAGAUAAAUACUUAAUCACUUGCUUUAUUGCUAUAAUAAAUAUUUAAUUAACUAUUUGAGUAAUUACUUUAUUAUUUAUAUCUAAUAAGCUAAUUAAAAUUUUAAUUAUUUAGUGUGCUUAUGCAAUAACUAGUGGUUGAGGGUGGUAGCAUCAAACUCUAAUAACCCAGUGAACAAUUACCCAACUCACUUCUGAUUAUAAAACGAUGUUUAUAAAUUAUCAUAGAGAUAUUUUAUAGAGAUAUAUUAUGUAGAGUUUGGCUGAAAUAUUAUCGGUAGCAAACGAACUCAUUGCCACCCAUUUAUUUUCGAUGAUAGAGCCUUCAAAUCGAUGAUCGAUAUCGUUAAACAUAAUCUAUACCAUUUGAAAUAUUUUGAAACCAAAUUUUAAAUAUUUUCGACAUUAUUGACCUAAUGAUCAAAGGGUUUCAAAAUUUUUAAUUUUAAUAGUAGAUAUGAAGCAUUUUCUCGUUUAACAGUAUAAAACUAUCCAAAUCAAUUUAAUUUUGGUUAAAAAAUUCUUUAGACUAUUUAAAAUAAAAUCUGUACUCUCAAUCUUGAUUACAAAAUUUAUAUCAUCACUUUUUAGAGGAUAUUUAUUUUUAGCUGUUCAUUUUUACGUCCACUUGAUGGACAAGAGGACAAUAUCGAAAAAACAUAAAAUUUGAUUUUUAGAUACUUCAAGUAGUAUAGAUAAUAUUCAACGGUACAGAUCGUCGAUUUGAAUGCUUCAUCAUCGAAACAAAUCAGUGGCAAUAGGGCACGUUUGCUACCGAUAGUAUUCCAGCUCAACUCAUAUUACAUAAACGUAUUAUACAAAAUAGUAUAAUAGGUACAGCUACUGUAACCUAAUAGUUCAACAUCUCAUGAAAAAAACUUAUAAUUAAAAAUAUAUGAACUAAAAAUUUUUAUAUUAAUUAAUAAUUGAGUUUAAGCAUUUUUGACUUGAAUCGUAAUAUUUUGUACAGGACGAGAACACAUAAAUUUGGGCUUUGGGUUGAACACGAGCCGGAUUUCACAUAAUUCCAAAAACAAACCCAAAAGUAUUUUGGGCUUAGAUUUUUAGGCCCAGCUCAAGACCCACUCACGCGCGACGUUAUCCAAAUGGAACAGCGUAACUACCCUCUCGAAAUAUCCUCCAGGAGCCCAUCUAAUCGGACGACACGUGUGCGUCAAGUUUCGGGCAUAACCGACUCCGGCGGAUCACUGUACCCACAGUAUCCAUUUCCUGUUCUCGUUCUCCUUUCCCGGCCCUUCCCCGCUCUCUCGCGUCGACCUCUCUCCUUCGCCCCUUCUCCGCCACCAUGGGAGCUUAGCACCCCACCCCCGGCUCCGUGGACUCCCAAACCCUAAUCCNCCCCCCCCCCCCCCCGAUCCAUCGUCGUCCCCGAUUUGGUAGCUAGGGUUUAGAUCGGAGAUCCGCUAGGGUUUUUCCGAUGUCGUCGAUCCUGCCGAAGAGCGAGAGCGUGGAGAUCCGCGAGGUGUGGCGCGGGAACCUGGAGGCGGAGUUCGCGCUGAUCCGCGAGAUCGUCGACGAGUUCCCGUACGUGGCGAUGGACACGGAGUUCCCCGGGGUGGUGAUCCGCCCCCUCGGCACCUUCCGGUCGAGCUCCGAGUUCAACUACGCCACGCUGAAGGCGAACGUCGACACCCUGAAGCUGAUCCAGCUCGGGCUCACCUUCUCCGACGAGCGCGGCAACCUCCCAGCCUGCGGCGCCGGGCGGCGCGGCUGCGUGUGGCAGUUCAACUUCCGCGAGUUCGACGCGCGCCGCGACGCCUUCGCCGCCGACUCCAUCGACCUCCUCCGCCACAGCGGCAUCGACCUCGCCCGCAACGCCGAGGACGGCGUCGACGCCGCCCGCUUCGCCGAGCUGCUCAUGUCCUCCGGCGUCGUGCUCGACGACGCCGUGCGCUGGGUCACCUUCCACAGCGGCUACGACUUCGGCUACCUCCUCAAGCUCCUCACCUGCCGCAAGCUCCCGGAGACGCAGGCCGGGUUCUUCGCCCUCAUCCGGAUCUACUUCCCCACGGUAUACGACAUCAAACACCUCAUGAAGUUCUGUAACAGCCUCCACGGUGGGCUCAACAAGCUCGCCGAGCUGCUCGACGUCGAGCGCGUCGGAGUCUGCCACCAGGCCGGCUCCGACAGCCUCCUCACUUCCUGCACCUUCAGGAAGCUCAGGGAGUCCUUCUUUAACGGCUCCACCGAGAGAUAUGCCGGCGUCUUGUACGGCCUCGGUGUCGAGAACGGUCUCGAGAACGGUCUGGAUACCGCUCAUUGAGUAAGAAUAAUGAUAAUAAUCAUCAUCAUCAUAAUGAAAAAAAAAAAGAAAUUGGUUUGGUGAAUUGUGUUGGUUGAUGCUUUCUCGUGUGAUCUGCUUGAUUGGUGUUGUGUUUCUAGUUACUUACCAUGUUUCUGAAGUUGAUUUAACAUUGAUUGUUAAAUCAACCAUACCAUACUUCGGUUCUUUGUGAUCUCCACGACGGUAUGAAACUUUGUUGGGAUCUUCCUCUCCUGAUUGUAGUUUUUGAUACCAAUUGUUAGAUUUAACAAAUAAUCCUAACAUAUCCGGAUCGUUCUAGGACUCGGUGGGGUAAUCGUAACAAGCUUAAACAGUAAUAUGUUUCCCCUCCUUUGAGAGGCUCUUCAUCCACUGCCGUUUGUUUCGGAGGUGGUGUAUAUCUUAUUUGAUUUUGCUGCAUGUUCAGAAUUUAAUUAUGAUGACCGGAAAAAUGAUUCUUUUUUACUCUCAUCUUAUCUUCAAUAAGCACUAUUGAAUAUUCUUGAUGGCAGUUUAGGGAUUUUGCUCAGGUAAAUUGAAUUCUGUGGAUAGAUUUAUAAGUUGUUGUUCUUCAGAAUUUUACAUCAUAGCGCAUGCUAAUUGUUUUUGGUAGCUUAGCUUUACAAAAUUGGAUCCUUAGAAUUAUUGUAGUCUCAUUUGAAGGAGAAAAAAUGUGUCUGUUUAGUACUAAAUGUGAUCAAGUUUGGCCAUGAUGUUCCUGUCACAUUUGAUUAACCGAGUAGAAUAGGUGGAAUUCAUAUAAUAGCCUACUGAUCUGAUGUACUUAUUAUCGUGUUAGCAACUCUAGAAAGGAUGUUUCUUAUUCGAAUUAUUAUGAGAACUUUGAUAAAUGCAUGUUGGUGGAUAUCACUAUCCUCAUAAAUCUACCUAAAUGCUAAUGGAACGAUGGUGUUUGUGAGGCCUUGCAUCCUAGGGAGUCACCCAUCCUAGAACUGUUUUAAUCCUAGCACGCUUAACUUUUUUAACCUCUUGAGCCUAAUCACUGUCCAAAUGCUAUAGCCGACGGGUUACGAGAUUUAGCUCUAUUUUAUCUCAUAUAUAGAACUAUUCUAAAUACUGGGGGUGGCACGGUUUUGCACUCGUAAAUAGAUACCCCUUUUGUAUUCCGACAUCUGCUUUACUCUCUAGUAGUUCGGUCCUUAACAUAGAGCUAUGAAAUUGAUAUUCCUAACUUCCAUUUGGUCCUCGAACUUGCCAUUGAAUUUCGAAUAAAUUGUGAACGUCAUAAUAAUUUGUCUUGUUAGAAAUACUGUAAAUAACAAUCCAUUUGUCUUGCUGUAUUGGCCUUCUUCAUUUUCUAUUUUUAAAUGUGCUAUGUGUUUCUCACAUGCUUAAUUUCAAUGACAAGUUUUCGAAGUAGCAAUCCUAGGUAACAAAGUGCUAAAUUUUGAACAAAGGGAAAAAUCAGAUAUUAGAUAUACAUCAAAGUUUUUCUUUCUAAUCUUAACUGUAGUAGUUAUAUCGGCAAAAAUAUGACCAGAGCAGUAGUUAUAGCGACAAAAAUAAGACCAAAGUGUAGUAAGUUUAAAAAGAAAAUCAUGAAGUAUGCUACUGAAGUCCAAUUUAGCUUUUAGUUACCACUUCAGAAUGAUGAAAGAACAACUAUUGAUGGAUAAGAACUACAUAAGUGGGAGUAUCUUUCAUACCCUAGUUUUAUAGUCCUCUGUGAUGGGAGUAUAUAGAGCUACAGCAAUUUGGCAAGAAUUUUGAUAUAUACUUCUCAGAUUUAGAAGAAGUUUUACUGGACAAAUUUCAGAUGGAUGAUUCAAUUGCUAGGAAAUAUAGAAUAUAGAAUUUAGAAGUUUGUGUGUUUUAUACAUGUAGUAUUCAUUUAACUAUGUGGAAUGAGCUGACUCCAAUUUGAAAGCGAGAUUCAAAUAGGUAUUCAUUUUCUACUGUUAUUGUCAUCUUUAGUUUGAUGUAAAUUGACUUUCUCUUGGUCAGGAUUUGAGGAUAUGGAUUCUGUGUAAGCUUAAUUGCAUUCUUCGUGUGUAUUGCUUGUUCUGCUUCUUCCUUGUGUCGCCUAACACGGGAACAAGUGACAGUUCAAACAAACUUUGCUGUGCAGAAUUAAGACGACAUUUUUACACCUGCUUCAUGGUAAAUUUGGGAUUACAUUUUGUUUUCGUGAUUGUGAUUCAGAUGCAUCGUGCUUUUUUUCUUUUCUUUUCUUUUUUUUUUUGUUUUCUUUUCCCAGAAUGAAGGCAGAUCAUGCCCAUUAGAGUUCAAUGAAAUCUUUGGUUCAUUCAAAAUCCAUGUUCAAAUGGGUUAAUGAAAUGUAUAGAAUUAUGGAAACACUGGAGAAUGCCAAAUUGGGCCGAGUACAUGUUCUAUUUUUGUUAUUUUUGUUGUUAGUUUGGCCUUGAAUUAGAGACAUCACUGAUUCCGAGCUCUCUCAAAUAUUCACUUUGUGGUUGCACGUGAAAAUACACAUGCAACUGUAAUAAUCAAAUAAGGCGCUAUUUAUAGUGCACUUUAAUUUCUCAAUUUGAAAGCACGUAUAUGUAAAAUUUAAGGUGACUUAUUUAAUUUGGUUUGAUUUUAAUAAGUAUAUAGUAAAUAGUGUAGAGCUAGUAUAAAGUAGUUGGUGCUUUCAAUUUUUUAGCCCUUAGAUUAAAGAUUCUACGGUUGGGAUGAUAGCGGUCCCUUUAGAGUUGAGUGGUCCCCCAGGAUUGAGUAGUCCCAUUGGUUAAUAAUAUUAAUCCAACGGUUAGAAAUGAUCAAUGGGGUUGAUUUAAGAGCUAAAAAAUCGGAAGCGCUAACUAUUUUAUGCUUCCGAUAGUAUAGUAGCUCUACUCUAAUAAAUAAAUCCAUAUAUAUAUAUAUAUAUAUAUAUAUAGAGAGAGAGAGAGAGAGAGAGAGAGAGAGAGAGAGAGAGUAGGGCUACUAUACUCUUGAGUAUAGAGCUCUUCGUAUUCAUAAGUUGUUUUUGGUGAUGGAGCUUCUGAAUUGACGAUCCACUUCGUUAAAUAUGAUCUAGAGUAUUUGAAACUUUUAGAAAAUAAAUUUUGUAUUUUUUUUUAAUCAUAAUAAAGUUUAUCAAGCAGGCAUAAAAUGAACCGUCAAAAUCGAACGACGUUCUAAAAAUGAAUGAUCUGAUCCUUCAAUUUAAGAUAGAGUUAUUGAUCUUUAUGUAGAUAGUGAAUAGAAUUUUUUAUGAAAAAUUCAGCUUAUUCUAAUUCUUUUAUAUGGUUAAACUAGCAAGUAUUUCAUACCGGUCGUUAAAAAUUAUUAAUUUUGUGAUUUUUUGAUUGUAGUGUAAAUAAUAUUGAAAAAUUAUGAAAUUUGAUUUUAGAAAUUUUAAAUAUUUUAGAUAAUGUUUAACGGUAUCGAUCAUCGAUUCAGAAGUUCUAUCAUCGAAAAUGAUUUAUAAGUACGAGGGUAAUCAUGCUUAUAAGAGUAUAGCAGUCGGACUUUAUAUAUAUAUAUAUAUAUAUAUAUAUAUAUGAGUCAAGUUCAAAUGACAUAUGUGUAAUGGUGAACAGUGUUACACUCUUUUUGGGCCGUAGAUCUAAAUAAAAUCCAAGGAUCCAGCAAUGGCAACUUUUUUAACUUGUCAUUGAGUUGAGAUCAAAUAGUUGUCAUAUCUCUCACCAUCACUUUAAUGCCUGACGCGAUCUCGCACUAGCACACACACACACACACACUCUCUCUCUCUCUCUCUCUCUCUCUCUCUCUCUUCCCAAUAUCUUUUGGUGCAUGCAUUCAUGAUUUUUUUUUUCUCCUUCUUGGCCUGAACUUUGCAUCUCUAUACUCCUUUCACUUACUCGCAACAUACAUUAGAAGGGAUAAAGAAUCUGAUGCCUUAACCAUUUCUCUAUACAACAUGUAUGGUAAAUUAACUAGACACUUUUUUCUUUCCUUUCUUUUUUAAUUUUGUGGCAAUAGAUAUUACGGAUUUUUUUUGUUUUAUAUUUAAAGAAAUUUUUUGUCUGUUUAUAGUUACUAAAAUUUUUAACCUAUUCUCGUUAUUUUAUAUGCAUUAUCAAUUAAAGUUUCUUUUUCUAAGAUUUAACUAAAUUAGAUAACUAAAAGUAACUAAACAAAAUAUUGCCAUUUUAAAAUAUCCGGUAAUGUUUUCUUUUUAUUUUGGCAUCCUUUAAUUUUAAUUAAUUAUUUGAUUUAGUUAAUUUUUAGAUCAAAUGGGAUUUAUAAAAAAUUAGCUGUUUGUUGGUUAUUAUGUCAUCAUCAUUUAAAAAUUUCAUAAUUCUAUCAACUGCAAAGUGUCUAAUAAUUAAAUAAUAGAGUUACAUCCAAACUUAGCAAAAUAUCUCUAUACAUUUUACCUUUUUUCUCCUUUCAUGAUGUUCUAUCUUUCAUUGAAUUACUUGUUUAACCACAUGAAAUUAUUUUGUAUUGUGUUUUAUUUUAUUUUAUUUUUUUUCUGUUGAGCUUAUGUAUGUGUGUUCUUGUUGGAUGUUCUUUUCUAAAUAAUUCAUAGUUUGCAAAAGUUUACUUUGGAACUUUUUUGUCCAGAACAGUGGCUAAAUGUUGUAUGGGGAAUUCAUCACCAACUGUUAUUCCAAUUGCUUGUACUAUGAUGAUGCCAAUACUACAUAUAAAGAGACAAAAAUGCAAAAUGUACCAAUCUUGAAACUAAUUCGAAAAAUAUAUAUCAAAUGCCUCUGUUGACGAAUCAAUGAAACAUAUGAUUGAAUGGGUUUAUAAACUUUUGUGAUGUUGUGAGAAUUUCUACAAGUCUUUGCAAACAGCACGGUUUUGGUAUUCGUAUUCGGACAAGUCAAACAGGCUUUCGAAGUAAUGAAUUAGAAGUCGUAUAUAUGUAUGUGUGUUCGAAGGCCAUCAUAAGAGAGAUUUCAAAUUGAAGAGAGCACAAAUAGGAUGGAAAAAUAUAGGAGGAGUGUUCACUAUAAGAACUGUUGUGGGGCACUAUUUUAAGAUAGACGAGUAAGAAUAGUACAACUUGGGUUGUAAAUCAUUCAAAAAUGGAGCACAAUCAUAGUAUGAUUAGCCCUAAAAGUGUGUCAUAUCUAAGAUGUCAUAGAAAAAUGACUUCCACAGUUAGCCUUGUUGAAAAGUUUGAGAAGAAGGAAUUCCCACAGGGCAAAGUUGCAUCAAUAUUUAUAUAUGUUGCAUUAACAAUUCUCUAAUAGGGAUUGUUGGAACAUCUUAAAACUUAAGAGAAAGGACUUGGAUAAUGGAGAUGCAAAGCAGUCUAAGUUAUUUUUAAAGAAGCAGGCUGAAGAUCCGAAUUUCUUAUGUAUGCUAUUCAGAUGUGAUUGUGCAUGCUCGGAUUAGUAACUUAUUUUGGUGACUGCUCGGAUCUUCGUUUGGCUGAUGAAUAUUUUGGUGAUGUUGUUACAUUUUGACAAAAACAAAAUAAACAAAGGUAACAUGCCAUUUGCCCUUUUGUUGGAUUAAUCAAUCAAUCGUCAAUAGAUUUUAUAUUUGUUGUGCUUUGUUACAGAUGAAUCUGACAAAAGUUUUAUUUGGUAUUUGAAAACUUGGCUGAGAGGCAAAUGCAUGGAAUAGUCCACCAUACUGGUAUUAUGAUCAAUUUGCUAUUGAGCAGCUGUGAGAAAAUGUUUCAGAGUGUAGUUAGCCGUACCCCCGCCCCCUCGUUUUAUCGUUCGAUUAAAAAUUUCCAGGAACAGUUGUCACGAUUAUAUAUCAUAAAAACUCUGACUUCUAAGCGUGAAUUAAAAAAGAUGAUCGUAAUCUACUUACUAUAGAAGAGUUUGAAAAGGCAUUGGACAUGAACUGAUGAUUCACGAUGCUUAGAAGAAUGAUUGGCUUCAAGGUCUUUAGCAAGAUUAGAGAGUUUGGAUACCUGGUGUUAACCGAGCGACCCUUUUUGCGGGAAUGAUACACCCAAAGAAGUGAAAGCAUCAACGCAUUUUUUUGAUUCUUUUGUAAUUUCAACACUUCAUUAAAGAGUUUGCCAAGUAUGGAAAGGCAGUGUAAGUUAUGAAAAAAAAGAAUGAAGAUUUUAUUCAAGGCACAAAUCAACGCAUGUUAAGAAUUGGGUCCAAAAUAGAGGCUAAAGAUGCAGCAUCAAUUUACACAAGAAUAUUUUUAACAUUUUUCAAAUGAGUUUGUUAAAGACUUUCACUUACAAGGGAAAAGGUUGAAAAGAAUGGCUCGUGAUUUGUCAAUACAAAGUGUUGAGUUUGCUUUAUCUCAGGAUAUUGUUGUUGUUUGUCGUAGAAUUAGACUACAAAGCUGGUAGUUGUGGAAUGUCAUCAUCUUUGAAUUUAUGGGUAUUUGUGCAGGCAAAUUUAGCAGGUUUUUCAUUUGAAGAAUAAUUUUUGAAUUUCCUUAGCGUUACGUUUGUACACGUGGACAAAGGAAGCAAUAUAGAGUAUUGAUGUAUGGACAUAGAAUCGGUGUCGAAAAUUGAUCCUCAUUUCGUGCUAGCAUUACGAGAACUGAAUAUAUGUCGUUAUUGGAACAAUUUGUCUUGUAUUGGCUGAGAAAUCGAUGAGAAUUUUAUAGAAGUUAUCAAUUGCCGAUUGAGUCAACUUUGCACGAAGGUUUUGUAUGAUGGAGAAUCAAUUUUGUAUGUAAUGAAAUUGAUUGACACAAGCAAAAUGAUAAGAUCAACAUGUGCACCAAACAGAGAAAUGAAGUCAAUAUAAGUGAUGACAGUGUAUCGCAAACAAAGUCGUAAAAAAGUUACCGAGAAGGAGUCACAACAGUGGGAGCAUAAAAGUGGUCUUGGAUCUCGUGUGGCUCGUGUAGCAGCAAAAAGAAGAUCGAUGUCAGUUGUGCGGGGAUAUGUCAUAAUAAGCGUAGUUUAAGGAGAAAGAAGAUCAUUCAAAUGUGUAAAUCAUCUGUAGUUGAAAAUUAUAACGUUCAUGUGGAUAUUUGUAUAUUCUAUAUUUUGUGUAAAGUAUUUACUACAAAUAUCUUUUUUUUAUUUGAAAUUGGAUGUUAACUUAGUGAUUUGUGUUAACUAACUAAAUGUUUUCUCAAUUUUCAAUCUUUUAAAUAUUCUUUCAGGUACACACUUUUGUACUUACUAUAAGCAGGUUAAAUAGGAGCAAAGAUGCUUUGCACAGUGAUUAGAAGGCAAGUGACAUAUCAUUUAAAUAUACAUUUUCACUUUUAUUUAGAUUGCAAGUUGCUGACUUGUUUUUUUAUAUUUGAUCUUUGCAGGUGUUUUUGUGUUUGUUUUGUUAAAUUAUAAUUCCAUAGAAUAUUGUUAGCUAUGAUAUUUUUUGACUCAUGAAUGUAAACGUUUAAGAUUGUCGAUGAUUUUCAGGUUUUGUUAAUUAACUCAAUUUAAUAUAUAGGUUGAAAUACAAUCUGAAAGGUGAUAUUUUUUUCUAUUUAGAAUGGUUUGAAAUAGUUAAAGUGAUGAAACUUAUGAAGUUGUUUCUUUUUGGUGGGGGGGUGUUUGAGCAUGAAAGUUUACAUAAUUUUUUUAUCCAAUACUCAUGUAUAAGUUUGUUACUCUAAUUAUUACAUUAAUUUGUAUCGGUGCACAAAAAAAUUCGUUGGUUUUAAAAGUGUCGAAACCUAUAUUGAAGUUUAACAGUAUAAACAUAUAUUAUAAAAGGGUUAUUGCUAUAAUUUGCCCUUAUAUUACUUAAUCUGUUAAUAAUUUCUAAAAUUUUAUUUAUUUUAAUGUUAAUGUGUUAUGAUAGUCAAUUAAAUUUGAUUUUUUUAUAAAAUUAAAUUUAGUGUAUUAAAAUCAAUUGCAACAAUCUAGUUAAUUUGAAUUAACUGAAUUUUACUAAAUUCAGUGUAUUAAAAUUCAGAUUCUUUAUCCUUCUAAUGUAUGUGUGCGGAGUAAGUGAAAGGUAGUUAGAGCUGCAAAGUUCAGCCAAGAAGGAGAAAAAAAAUCAUGAAUGCAUGCACCAAAAGAAUAUUAGGAAGAGAGAGAGAAGGCGAGAGGGAGGCUUAGAGUGGAGGAAGAUUCGAAAGAGAGAGACAUGGGGAAUACCACCCCGGGGGGAGUCUGUGAUGAUGGUAUUGUGUAGUGCAGUAAUCGAAGUCAUGGAUUAAAAGUGAUGUGAGAGAAUAAUUUGCACAAUAUUUAUUCAAUUCAAGGACCAGUUAAAAAGUUUGCCAUUGCUGGAUAUUGGAUUAUAUUUUAGAUCUACGGGCCAAAAGACCUACGAAGCGCCUGUGUAAAUUGUUCACCAAUCACAUAUGUCAUUUGAUUGACUUGUAUAUAUGAGUUAUAGCUAAUACUAUUAUAGUUAGGAGAGGAGAGAUCCGAAGUAGUUGGAGAGAGACAUGAAUAGGCCGGACGUGCGCAGAGAGAUGGGAGAGAGGAGGCGUGGCGGCGGGGUGAAGGUGCGCCGUUGCGGGGCGUAGCGGAGCCCAACCCGGUGCGGCACGCGGGAGAGGAAGGCGACUGAGGUACUGUGACUUUCGGGCCGAAAUGAUGGAGUGAGGCGAUGGGACAGGGGCGUCGUCCAAACGGAACAUAAGGCAGAUGCAGGGGACUAUACGACUGCGAGAGAGAGGAGAGAGGUCGGUCAAUUACUAUCGAUAGUACCAAAGCCCUGUAUAUUGAGGUUUUCUAGCAUUUAGUUACCUGGAAUAUUUCCACCAUUAAGUUAUAUAUUUAACAACAUCACUCACCUAGGGGAUCAAUAUCAGUAACCGUGGACACUAUCAUCUAAUCGCACUUAAUCAAUCAAGGCGCAAAACUCAAUAGACAAGGACUUGGUAACUAUUGAUAGUGUAUCAGUUAAGCAUAAUUAUUAUAUUAUAUAAUAAUGUUAUAUAUAUAUAUAUAAUAGUAUAGUAGCUCUACUCUAUAUGAGUCCGGCUACUAUACUAUUAUGAGUACGAUCGCCCUCGUACUCAUAAGUUGUUUUCGAUGAUAGAGCUUCCGAAUCGACGAUCCACACCACUAAAUAUUAUCUAGAGUAUUUAAAACUUCUAGAAAUCAAAUUUCAUAAUUUUUCAACAUCAUUUACCUUACGAUCAAAAGCUUACAAAAUUGACAAUUUUUAACAGCCGGUAUGAGAUACUUGCUAGUUUAACGGUGUAAAAGAAUCAAAAUAGGUUGUAUUUUUGAUAGAAAAUUCUAUUCACUACCUAGAUAAAGAUCAAUAACUCCAAUCUUAAAUUAAAGAAUCUGAUCAUUCAUUUUUAGGACGUCGUUCGAUUUUGACCGUUCAUUUUAUGCUCGUUUGAUCGACUUUAUUAUGAUUUCGAAAAAUUACGAAAUUUAAUUUUUAGGGGUUUCAAAUACUCUAGAUCAUAUUUAACGGAGUGGAUCGUCGAUUCGGAAGCCCCAUCAUCGAAAACAACUUAUGAGUAUGAAUGACGCAAUACUCAUAACAGUAUAGUAGCUCUACUCUCUCUCUCUAUAUAUAUAUAUAUAAAGAGAAAGAGAGAGAGAGAGAGAGAGAGAGAGUGGGCUGGUAUGCUUCUGGAAGCGCGGAGCCCUCCGUGCUUCCAAGUUGUUUUUGAUGUUCAGACUUUCAAAUCGACGAUCGACUCCGUCAGAGUUGAUCUAGAGUAUUUGAAGUACCUAGAAAAUAAAUUUUGUAAUUUUUUGAUAUCAUUUGCCUAGUGAUCGAAGGGGCUCAAAAUCAAUAAUUUUAAUGGCCGUGGUGAGCCGUUUGCAAGUUUAACGGUCUAGAAAUAUCCAAAUUACAUGAAAUUUUGAUAGAAAAUUCUUUAUACCAUAUAAAACAAGAUCAAUAACUUUGAUCUAAAAUUUUAAUGUCAUAUCAUCAUAUUUUGUAAGAUUUUUAUUUUCAGCCGUUGAUUUUGAAUCACUUCGAUCACUAGGCAAAUGAUAUCGAAAAAUCGCAAAAUUUAUUUUCUAGAUAUUUCAAAUACUCUAGAUCAAGUUUAAUGGAGCCGAUCGUCGAUUCAAAAGUCCGAACAUUAAAAACAACUUGGAAGCACAGAACGCUCCGUGCUUUUAGAAGCAUAUCAGACGCACUAUAUAUAUAUAUAUAUAUAUAUAUAUAUAUAUAUAUAUAUAUAUAGUCCGGCUAUGGUACUUGUACAAGUACCAAGCACUUUGUGCUUGUGAAUUUUUUAUCGUUAGAUCUACGCCUUUGAUCAUUUUCACCUGUUAGAUUAUACUAUUCAACUAACCACCCACUCAAUUCAAGAGGGUCUACAUCAUCCUAACCGCACAUUUAUUAAUCCAAGGGCUAAAAACUUAUAAGCACAAAUGACUUGGUACUUUUAAAAGCAUAGGAGCUCAAUUCUAUAUAUAUAUAUAUAUAUACUUUUUCUUUUGAUGUUCUUCCUCCUUGCAUAUAAGAAUCUAUUGUCUAUUAUAUACAUCUUUCCAUUGCAUUGAGGGCGCAUUCGUCCCCACCAUCCUGUGAAUAUAAUUAAGAAUUUUGUUUUUUUUUUUUUCGGAUUUUAACAUUUUGUUCAUUCCGUACGUAAUUUUAUCAGUAAUGUAAAUUACCAAUACCGCAUAAUUAAUAUAAAAAUAUUAUAGAAUUUUAUUCUAAAAUUUUUAGGGUUAAAGUUCUGUACUUAUCAUAGCUUUUGGUUGGAAAAUUAGGGGGAUAAGGGGUUAUCCACCGUUAUCUCCAAAGGAGAUUAUUUGAGGGUGGGGAUUGCUAACCCACCUCUGGAAUAGGAGCGGAAAUAGUUGUUCUCACUCUUAUUUAAUUUUAAAAAAAAUUUAAAUUUAAAUUUAAAUUUUAAAGUUUAUAAUUUUAAAAUUUUAAAUUUUAAAUUGAUAUUUUAAUUUUUUAAAUUAAAAUUUUGAUAUUUUAGAUUUUUAAAUUUAGAUUUAAUCUUAAAUUUAAAAUUUAAAAUUCAAAGCUUUGAAUUUUUGAAUUUGAGAUUUAAAAAAUUAAAUUUAAAUUUUAAAUUUAUAAAAAUUAAAAGUUAUAUAUUUAAAUUUUAAAUUUUAAAUUUAAAUAUAAUAUAUGAGACAAUAUCAUUAUUUUCUAUUUAUAACUACCUACUAUUCUUCUUAUUCUAAUCUUAUCUAUUUUUUUUUAUAUUCGGCAACAACACAAUUUUUAUUCAAAUAUAAAAUUGAUUUAUUCUAUGCUUAUAUCUGAACUUAUAUCUAUUCCUGAAAUAGAUAAUUCUUUGUUUAUAUCCAAGCCUACCGAAGUCUAAAAGUGUGAAUAGGACAUUCAAACAUGAUAUUGUAAACAAUUGGCACAAAAUGCUAAAAUAUUCUAUUUCUUUCCAAUACUAUUGUUUUUACAGCACUCCUAAACACGGUCUUAUUAUUGUAAUUUGUGUACUAAAAAGGAUCACGACUUCUUGUUGGUUGAUAUCAUUCUCUUUUGGGUUUUUAAGCUAAGGUAGCGUUUGGUUCGGGAACAAGAUUGAGAAUAAGUCCUUGUUUCCUUUUUUGUUCCCAAACAGUGCGUUAGAUACUCGAGAACAGUAAUUUUCGAAUUUUUGAAAUAAAUCGGUAUAAGGCUAGAACUGUUGUUCUAUCUUUUUCCUGAAACAAGCUUGUUCCCAGGUGAGAAUAAGAUUAAUUAAAGUCUAAAAAUAAUUUUAAUUAUGAUAUUAAAUAAUUAAUUAAUUUAAUUAAUAUAUUUAAAACAUUAUUUAUUGCUUAAAUAAUAAACAAUAAAAUAAUUUAUUUAUUAAUUUAUAAUUAACUAAUUUAUUAAUUUAUAAUUUAUAAUUAGUAAUAAUUUAUUAUUUAUAAUUUAUUAUUUAAUAAUUUUUAAUUUAUAAUUAUUUACAAUUUAUUAUUUAUUUUAUAAUUAUUAGUUUAUUAGUUUAUUAUUAUAAUUAAUUUAUUAUUUAUAAUUAUUAUUAGUUUAUUAUUUACACUAUAUUAUCUAAUUAAUUUAUUAUUAAUAAAUUAUUAUUAAUUAAUAAUUUAUUAUUUAUAAUUAUUUAUUAUUAAUUAAAUAAUUAAUUAUUAAUUAAUUUAUAAUUUAAAAAUAUUAAUAAUUUUUAAUUUAUAAUUUAUUAUCUAAUUAAUUUCUUAUUAAUUAAUUUAUAAUUUAUAUAAUUUAUAAUUAUUUAUUAUUUAAUUAAUUUAUUAUUUAUAAUUAUUAAUAUUAAUUUAUUUUUUACGUAAUAUUUUGAUGUUAAUUAAUUAGAUAAAAUAAUUUUAAUUUAAAAUUAUAACUCUUAUUCGCUUUGUGCCAAUCUAACCAUCCAAACACUAUUUAUCUUAUUUAUACAAACAACCCAAGUUUAAUCUAAACAUAAAAUUGGUCUAGUUUCUACUUAUACCUGAGCUUGUAUCUAUCCCUGGAAUAAACAGUUCUUAUUUAUACCCGAACGAAACGCAGCCUAAGAGUUUAAAACUCGCUAUAUACAGGAAAAAAAAUUAAAAUAUGUGUUGGUGUGCUUCACACAACAAAGAAAACAAAAAUAUUCAUUCUUUUUUUAGGGUGCGUUUGGUUCGAGUUAUCCUGACAGGAUUACAGGCAAUCCUGCCAGGAUAACUGUAUUUGGUCAAUCCGCUAUGUAAUUUAGUCGUUAAUGUAGCAUUACAAAUUGAGCAGGAUUACAUUAAAAAUAUUAACGAGAGGGGGUCGUGUAUCUUGCAUUACUAAAACCCGUUAAUACUACAUAUUAUGUAAAGUGAAAAUUUUACCCUCCAACAAUCUCAAAUCUAAUUAACAGCAUUAUUUUCAUCUCUCUCUCGCCUUCCCCCGGCCCUCUCUCUUGCACGCCUCUUUCUCUCGCUCUCUCUCGACGUCUCUCUCUCUCUCUCUCUCUCUCUCUCUCUCGCACGAACACUUAUCAUCUUCUAUUGCGUCGUCCUCCCAAGUAAUCAUCAUGAUCUCCUUCCCUUCAUUCGUCAUUUUCGCAAAAAAUAAUAUUCAAAUGACCACAACAAAGGUAAUUUUUAAAAAAACUAUACUUUUAUGUCAGGAUUACUAAAUUUUAUAAACUGAACGAAACAUAUUAAUGCUAUAAACAUUGUAAUCUAGUAUUACAUUACUGUAUUAAACCAAACGCACUAAUGCAGCAUCAGUAAUAAUCUCACGCCGAAAUCCAAAAUAUCUGGAUAUGUCGAGAUACUCUGUAAUAUUACAUAACUCGAACCAAAUGGGCCCUUAUAGUAAUUUGUAUAGUAAAAGCAACAAUCGCUGCUCAGGCCGAGUUGAUUACCGCCCUUCUUCUAGAGUGUUAAAUUCAGAGUUUGAAUUCUGCCAUAUACGAAAAACAACAUGAGCGCAACUAAUUAAUAACAACAUCAGCGCAACUAAUUAAUAUCUUAACAUAAAAAAGGUAAAUUAACAAAACUAUUCCUCCCUUCCUCAAAAUAAGCUGCCUAGAGGGAUGUGCUAAUGUGGCUUUAUUGUUAUCUUAACAAAAAUAAAAAAAAUGCAAAUAGACAAAAAAAUAAUAGUUUUUUUUUUUUUUUUUUUUUUUUUUNAGACAGGAGAAACCGAGAGAGGGGGCGAUGUGCAAAAGGAUCCCGGCCGUUAUAAUGCUGAUGAUGAUGAUGCAGUCGAAGUUAACAGCAACGUCUCUGAGGCUUUGAGCUCGCCGGUGGGUCGCGGUAUUCUCUCUCUCUCUCUGACACAGCCGAGGUUUUCGAUUCACACCCCUUCCUUAUUCUCUCACUUGUGGACCCCACCGCCAAAAUGAACGGCGGUGAUCGUCUCCUCCCAUCUCCGCCGCCUCUCUCCUCCCCUCUAUAAAUACCUCCCCUCAUUCCCCCCGCCUCAUUCUCCGAUCCCCCUCUCUCUCUCUCUCUCUCUCUCUCUCUCUUCGGCGUGGUCGGAAGCGGGAGGAGGGGUUUGGGUUCGCGGAGAGAGGGGGGAGGGGCGGGGGAACCCUAACCCUAGUGGAGUUGCGUGCGACGGAAUUUUAGGGUUUCGGCGCGCGCGUUUGGGUCGGGAUUGGGAGCUCGGAGGCGUGAGCGAAGAUGAGUAGCCUCGUGGAGCGGCUCCGGGUGAGAUCGGAGAAUAAGCCGCGGUACAAUAUAGAUGAUUCGGACGACGAUCUCUUCGUUCCCCUCGCGACGUCGAAGAGGAAGCAGGAAGAGAAGCCCCCCGAGAAGAUCGUGAGGGAUGAUGCGGUAUGAUGUUCUUUCGCGGCUUUUCUUGUUGUUUUCAUGCUAAGUAGGUUUCGUUGCUUUGGUUCUCGAUUGGUAUUUUUCACAUGUCGGUAGCGGGAAAUUGCGAAAUUAGGAUGAACAUGUGCUUUCUUCUUCGUGGGAUUGUAAUUAAGUGUGUGGAAUUUGAGCCAUUUUCUUCUUUUGUGUCUAAAUGUUGUAAGAAAUAUGUGAAUUAAUUGCAAGAAACCUAAGAAUUUGAACAAAUCGGUUCUUUCUUGCUGUUUUUAAUGCAAAUUGGGUUAUUGCUUUGGUUCUUGAUGGUUCUUUAAAGUUGUGGGAAUUGAGAGGGUAAGUUCACCAUCAAUCUUGCCACUUCUUGGGACUAUUUUAGUGUGUAGGUUUGAACCAUUUUCAGUUUCGGUAGUGUCAGAAAAAUGUGAAUUAAUUGCAAGAAAACUUCAAAUUCCAGCUGCAUCAUAGAACAUUUUAUGUAGGAUCGUUCAAAAUGUUAGAUUACAGUACUUGCCAUUUUUCCUGAUUUUGAAUUAGAUGUCUACAAAGAAUGUAGUCCCAACUAAUUAAUGGAAAAGAUGAUAGAGCAUUUCUCGUUGGCAACUUUAAGCGUUUUGGGUGUCGUUAUAUAAGAUUGUUUAGGUACAUAAACUAUAUGACAUUUAACUUUUGAAUUGUUAACCUAAAGUUUUGGUGCUUCGUUAAAAGAUAAUUACUUCGGCCAGCAGGAAGCAACUUUGACAUUCUCUCUGUUGGAAAGUUUGGAAGGUCACCAAAAACCACCAAUGCAAGUGGGCAUUCUGAAUGGCCUACCAUAAAAAAAAAAGUGGAGAGAAAACCUAAAAUUUAUGAUAUUCCUUAUUUGAAAAAAAUGUCUUAAGAAUGUGCCAUGUGCCAAACUUCUGAUGUUAAUGAAUACGAGGGAAACUGGAGCUGGUCUAUUCUUAUUAAUUUUGUAACAUUUUAGAUGAUUUCCCUAAUCACGAGUAAUCUUUAAGAACUGUUUCUUUGCGCAAUAUAUACAUUAAAUGAUAAAUGUUCUUCAAUUUUCUUGAAGACUCGUAGUCUCGAAAUAGUGCUUCCUAUACAUUUGAUUUGUUAUUAUGAUUGUCCAUUUUAAGUUUAAACAUUCGUAUUUUAGGCUAAAUUGUUUUCUGAGUACAAACCCAAAAAAAUGUCAAAUCAUAUGAGACGAGCUUAAAGAUGCUGAGUUAUAGCCCCAUUUUUGAAGCAGAGGCGAUAUCAACAGUAAGGCUGACUGGUUUUUUUUAUUACAACUCAAAGAUAGGAGGGAUAGUCAGUUGCUGGCUAGUUUUUUGAGUAAAACUCAAAGUUAGGAGGGAUAAUCAAUUGAGAGUCUUACACUCUUACUGUAAUGGCUUGACUUUGAUUUUCUUUAUUCGACCUGCAAAAUCAGUCAAUGGGUUUACAGAAUAUUAUAUUUCUGUUUGUAAGAUUUGUUGUUUGGCUUUAAUGGAUUUUCUUCUUUAACAUUUGAAACCUUGGCGUUUUUGUGUGUUUAAAUUGUCAGUUCAAGCUCUUAUAUUUGAUUUUUAGUUUAUUGCUCGUUGUUACUCUUUUUUUUAGCCCCUUUUUGAAAGUUCUGCCUGACUGGUCUUUGGAACUAAUGGCUGAGAGAAAUGGGCCUAUUUUCAUCAGAACUUCCAUUGAAAUAUAUAUGUUGGCUUGACUGGAUGUUAAGAAACCUGCCUAAGGAUGGAUUCAUCAUAAAUCAAAGUUCUGAUCUUCUGUCUUACGCCUGUUUCAUUUCAUGUUUUCUAUCUUUUCGCUUCAGAAAUGUGAAAAUAAAUUUAAUAGAAACUUACUCAGUUCUGAUGGCUGGCGGUUAGCUUUGAGAUGUCUUGGAAGUUGAAAUUGUUUAGAGUAAAAUGGUGGUUCUUGUUGUUAACAUUUCUUGCAUAUUGUUUAUUUUUCUGAAUUUGAGCUUUCGUUAUUUGCAGAAAGAAGAUGCAUGCCAACUCUGUGGAGAAAAAAAUGACAAUCUAAUUUCCUGUGGAACAUGUACAUAUGUUUUCCACCGGAAAUGCUUGGUUCCGCGUUUGAAAAUAACACCUGAUGACAAAUGGAGCUGCCCUGAAUGUGUAUGUUUUUGCAAAACUCGUCUCCUUCACAGAUUUUUAGAUCGCUGUAGUUAAUAUUUGUAAUAUUGAAUGUGUGAAAUUUUCAGGUGAGCCCGCUGACUGAAGUUGAGAAGAUAUUAGAUUGUGAAAUGCGCCCUGUUGUAAAGGAUGGGAUUGAUUCUUCACAGCCUGGUUCAAAACAAGCUUAUGUGAAGCAAUAUCUUGUGAAGUGGAAAGGACUUUCAUACCUUCACUGCACAUGGUAGCUCUCGAGCUAACCAUUUAUUUCCUACUUAUUUUCUGUAACUCAAAGUUUCUGCUUUAAUCUAAAUAACAUGCAAGCGGCCUUUGUAAAAUUCGUAUGUUCUAUCUUUCUAUUUGGCAUGCUCACAUUUGUUGCCACUCAUUUUUUUAGGGUUACAGAGAACGAGUUCUUGAAAGCUUCCAAGGCUCAUCCACGAUUAAAGACUAGAUUAAACAAUUUCCAUAGGCAAAUGGAUUCCAUGGAUAAGUCAGACGAUGACUGGGUUGCAAUUCGACCUGAAUGGACUACCGUUGACAGAAUUAUCGCUAGCAGGUCUAGAAAUUUAAUAUUCACCAUGUUUAUAAUUGUCCACAUACUUUUGUAGACAAUUUUUUUGUUGUUGAACUGCUAUGUAUACUGAAACAGUUUUGUCACAUUCAAUUUAACACUGACUAGCAGGUAUUUCGUAGAAAUUUGUAAAAAUUAAAGAUCAUCUUGUAAAUAGAACAUCAUUUGGCUUCUAUCAUGUUCAAUUUAGACGUAUAAUAAGCAAUUAGAAUACACUGGUGCCAAAAAAAAUAAAUGUUUCAUGCUAUAGUGUGUUGGCGGCUCGGCACAUAGGUAGUUUUGUAAACGGCAAGCUUCGGCAUGCCACGGCACACUCCGUGCUGUAUUGUUCCGGCAAAUGCUCCGUGCAACCCAGUGCCCAGGCACUUAAAUCCUUGUGCAUAUGCGACGCCUGUAUGACUCUAGCGAUGCCUGUAUGAACCCCAUCUAUUUACUCCCUUAAUUAAUGAUUUGUAGCAUAACGGACAUCAACAUAAAAAAUAAAUUAUCCUGGUUAUAUCAUACAUAAAUAGUAAUCUGGUGUAGAAGUUCCUUUUCAUGUUGUCACUUCUUUUCUUUUCUUCCUUUUUCUUUCUUCACUUUAAGUGCAUUGUCUUUAAUUCCAGCUAAAAGAAAGAACCUUUUCAAGUGGCAAUAUUAGAUCGUACUUUGAAUCAUAAUUCGAUGUCUGACAAUUUAACCUUCAUCGGGCCUUCACUGAUGCUAGAUGGCUGGAUUUCUUUGUUUCAAAGGCAUAAUUAUGCAAUACUGUGUCUUAUGUUGUUUCUGAGUAUGACGAAGAGUUUCCAACAGAAAAGCUGGUGAUGAGCGUGAGUACCUUGUGAAAUGGAAAGAGCUUCCGUAUGAUGAAUGUACCUGGGAAGUUGAGUCAGACAUAUCUGCCUUUCAAUCUCAGAUUGAAAGAUUCAACAUGAUUCAGUCGAGACGUCAUAAAAAACCUCCUAUUAAGAGUAAGAAUGGUAAUCGUGAUACACUUUCCUAUGAGCAGAGCCCUGAAUUUCUCUCUGGCGGUAUGUUUAUUUCCUGAUAUGAUUUUUCUCACUUUCCUCUUCCAAUUAUGUAUAGGUAUUGUAACACAAAUGCUUAUUUUGCCUUUUUGAUUAUUGAAGGGUCAUUACAUCCCUAUCAGCUUGAAGGAUUGAAGUUUUUGCGCUAUUCAUGGCUAAAAGAUAAUCGGGUUAUCCUUGCAGAUGAGAUGGGUCUAGGUAAGGAUAUCUAUUCUUCAACCAAAAUUUCUUUUUAUUUGUCAUCAUUUUUGGAGGUUUCUAACUUAGAGGCGUACUGAUAUUUUUUCGCAGGAAAAACAAUACAAAGUAUUGCUUUUCUGGCUUCUCUGUUUGAAGAGAAUGUAACUCCUCAUUUGGUAGUGGCCCCUUUAUCAACGCUGCGCAACUGGGAGCGUGAGUUUGCAACAUGGGCACCUCAGAUGAAUGUUGUGCGUGUUUAAGUUCCAACUUUUUAAUGAAAAGAAUCUUUCAUCCGAAGUCUUAAGAAAAUAUUCUCAGUUUGAAUUUUUCAUGUGAAAUCUUAAUCCCUUUUUUUUUUGUGUGUGGUAGGUAAUGUAUUUUGGAACUGCCCAGGCUCGUGAGGCCAUUAGAAAAUAUGAAUUUUACUUCCCCAAAGAAAAAUCUCAUAAAUUUAAAAAAAAGAAAACUGUUCAAGGAAGCAGUCAGAAGAAACAAUCGAGAAUAAAGUUUGAUGUUCUUUUAACUUCAUAUGAGAUGAUUAACAUGGACUCGGCAGUUUUGAAGCCUAUUCGGUGGGAAUGCCUGGUAUUUUCUUCUAUCUUACUAGUUAAUUAUCAUUGAAAUUCUUCCACUCAUUUUAGUUGUCUUUACUGACAUUACUGUGUGAACACAGAUUGUCGAUGAGGGUCACAGGCUGAAAAAUAAAGAUUCUAAAUUAUUUAGUCAAUUGAGAGAUUAUUCUACUAACCACCGUGUGCUUUUAACUGGAACGCCUCUACAGGUUUAUAACUGUUCUCGCCUCGUUUCUUGGAUAUUUACCUAAUUUUUUUAAUCUUUGUUCUCUAGCGUUUGCUAUUUUGCGAAGAAACAUAUAUGAUUAAAGUUGAUUGAUUAAUGCACUGUAUUUCUUGAAGAUUUUUAGUUGCUUUAGCUUCCUACAGUGAUGUUCCUAAUCUAUAAAUAUGGAACGGAUACAAAUUGAAAUAUUCACAGAUACUAUUGAUAUCUUCUGAUUACUGAGAUUGAUGUUCUGGGCAUGUAGAAUCGGUUUUUCACAGAUAUCGUUCAGUCAAUAAAAAUUGUAUCUAUUAUUUUGCUGUUAACUUUAACAUACUACAGGACAGUGCUCUUUGUGGCAUUAGUCUAUUACUUUUUCUUUUUUUUUUAUAAAACCCGGGUAUUCUCUUGUUAAGGGUUCUUUUUGUAGGUCAUUACCUGAAACAUUGUCAUCAUGAGCAACUUAUUGUCUGAAAAAAUGUACAUUUUCACAAUUGAAGUUGCUUCAUAUACACAAUCGAGUGUUGUUCCGCUCUUAUUAAGAGCAUGUACUUUAUGAGAGUGAAUUCAAAUUGAAUACUAGCUCUUGCAUGAAAUGGAUAAAACUUUAAACUGCUGAGAACAAGCCAAUAGGUAAGUAUUCUUAGCCAUAUCAGUUAUCCCACCUUACAAGUCUAGCAAGGGUAUCUUAUGCCUACAUUACCUCUUAAUUACUAGUUCUGUAGACUGAUGUAACUUUUGAUUCCUCUGCCUUCAAUAGAGCCUCCUUAGUAUGAUUGCUGUGAUGAUGACUAGAACAUUAAACUUCAAGCAAGUUUUGGGUGCAAUUGGCAACCGUCUCUUUUCUUACCCUUUGCUUAUAUUGUAACUUGUUAGAGUACUGAAGCCGGAGCAAAAAAGAAAAAAGUCUACCGACAUUUAGUUUACUUUUGCUUUCAUCCAAUGCUGUUUUGUUUCCAAAAAGUUGGAACUUUCUGAGGGCAAAAAGGAGCCUGAUAUCAUUUGUUUACACAGCAUACUUGGUUGUCAUAGGAAAAUUGAAUUUGCAACAAAAUUGAACGCUUAUUAAAAAAUAACCUAGAAUUGAAUUACAGAAAAAACCAUAACUUCUGGGCAAAACUCGAGCCACAACCCUGACAAAGGUGAUGUCAAAUGCACUUCUCAUUUUGCGUCUUAAAUACCACUAAAUACUCUCUAGAUUUGGGCUAAUUAAACUUUUCAACUAGAAUUGUGCAUUGCACUUUACCCUUUGCAAUUAACAUUUCAAAGACUUUGCAUAAGAUGAUGGAGGGUGACGCUUUAUUAACUCUCUGGUAUCAGUACUCCUUCCUAAUAAUGUGUCGUCUGUUGGAAGCCAGAGUGCUUUGUAAUGACAGCUUGUUUUGUAAGCUUCCCUUUUGUUGCCAUCCUUCUAAAGAUUGAUAAUUCCUUACAGAUAAUGUUCAUUCUAAUAUAAAGGUUAUGAUGAAUAUGCUUUUAAUUUUGCAGAACAACCUGGAUGAGCUAUUCAUGCUUAUGCACUUCCUUGAUGAUAAGAGUGUAAGUUAUGCAGCUCAUGAUAACUUUCUCAUCUUAUGUUUAUUGGUGCACCAUGGAUGGCAUCGUAUAGUGGGAUAACAACCUCAAUUUGCAUGCACAAAGUUCCUUUUUCUUCCUGUUGUAGUUAUAAAAGUGCAAGGUUAGCGUUAAUCUUUAAUCUUUUGUUUUCAACAUGCUUCAGUGACAGACUAUCAUCCAAAGGUUCUGUUUCUUGAAUUUCAUGGAUGAGUUAUAUGUUCUAUUAACUUUCUGAGCUUUUUCAUAUUACCUAGUUAUAUUAACAGGUUAUUAGCAGGAUUGGUAGGUUUCCAGAGGCAAAGAGCUUUAUAAAUCUAAUUGGUGGCAUCCCCACAGGAUGUCAUUAUUUUUUAAAAUAUUCAAAUUGAAGAUAACAUUGCAAGUGAAAUCACUUAUUUAAGUUGCUUGUUUGAGAUAUGUUGUAAUCAAGCUUUAAUUAGUGCAAACAAUUAUCUGAUAUUGCAGUUUUGAUAGAUUUAGCAGCUUAUCAACAUCAUAUUUGUUUUUCUUAUGUGUGGUUCUUCUUUUCUAGUUUGGGAGCAUAGAGCACCUUAAGCAGGAAUUCACGGAUAUAAAUCAAGAUAAGCAAAUUGAAAAGCUUCAUGAUAUGCUUAUGCCACACCUUCUUCGAAGUAUGCUCCUUUAUUUUCUUAAUUUAAAAUGAUGCUCGUAUUCAUUCUAGUAUUCCAUUGGUGUUACCAAGUCUAUAAGUAAGCUCCACGUUUUGUGUUAUAAAUUCAAAGAUAGUUUUUAUUGCGCAUUUCAAUAUUUUUUAAUGAUGGCUUAUCAUUUAGAUAACGGCUCAAGGAGACAUGGACUACUAUUAGGUGAACGCAAGUCUGUGCUAUAUUAUUGAUUCAUUAAUAUAUGUGGUGAUUAUAUUUGAGGUAUAAACUAAUAGCACUGUCUGAUAUUUAACUAUUUUUGAAUUCAAAUGGGUUGGCAUCCGUGAAGCAGUCAAUUGACACAUACUUCUGACGGUAGCAUACUGAAAGGCAUAAAUUGAACUACUAACAUAGGGUUCAGGCUAUGGUUACAUUUGGCAUCAUAAAUCAAGUACUUUAGAUGUUGGAAGGCUAUUUUUUGUAGAUCAGAAACAUUUUGCACAAUGCAAUACAUGAUGCUUUUAUCUAAUCUAAAUAAACAAAUCAUGCUAAUGCAUGAUCCUUUUAUCUAAUCUAAAUAAGCUAAUCAUGCCCAUUCAAACAUUCAUAGAUUCAUCCAUCUCGGGUUCUUAGAUUUUUAAGACUCUAGUGAGAAAUUAUAGGAGAAAAGGCAAGGAUAUGAGAUUUAUCAGAUAAAGAGAGAUGGGUAGAACAAGGAUGGACUUGAAACAAUGGAAUAGGGAGCAAGAAGGGAGCAAGAAUGUUACCAGCUUUUUGUGAUCUAUACAUUAUUUACUUUGGUCAUCAUGUCAUCAUUGAAUAUAUGCUAUGUACGAUGUACAAGGCAUUUAUGUUUGUCUGAAGGAUGAAUAUGUUAGACAUGCUAGAUUUAUUUAUCUAGACUCAGUUUAAAUACUCGUUGAGAGAGAGAGAGAGAGAGCUCUUCCUUUGAGGUUUCGUCGGAGAGAGAAGAUGGUCGCUUGUUGUUUUCCUUGAUUGGGAAGAGAGGGGGGUGAAAAAAAAUGUGGGAGAGAGGGAGCUUACUACUAGUGAGAGGAAGGUGGGAGAGAGAGGUGGAAGAAAAGGAGGUGGGAGAGAGGGAGUUUACUGUUGAGGAUGGGGAGGAGAGAGAAGCGGUAGGAGAGUGGAGUAAAAAAUAUAAUAAUAAAUAGAUUAGGAUGGGGGGAAAUAUAUGAAUUGUUUAGGUAUUGUGGAUUAUUUUGCUCAAUUUUUAAACGGGUGAAAUUGAUUGUGCAGGAAUUAGUUUUUGAGAAACAGCUUUGAGCUUCUUCUAAUUCUGGGGGACCUAAAAAUCAGAAUUCUGAUUUUGAAAAUUAGAAUUAGAUUUUACAACACCUGCUACCUGAAAGCUCUAUUAAACCAAAAAUCUCUUUUGGCCCCAAAAUCACUUUUCAAAAGCUAGGCCAAACACCCUCUGUAUGACAUUCUGUAAUGAAGACUUUAUGUCCAUACCUUUUCUUGAAUUACUGUGUUUUGCCUAUCCUUUUUUAUACUACCCAGAGAAGCCUAAGAGUUCAAGUCUAACUUUAUAAGAUACGGUCCACAGACUUUAUCUAGAAUGCCGAGUAAUAGGAAAGUUGACGAUUGAAUGAAUAGGUUGUUAGUGGAAAAAUGGUGAAUUAUUCAUUGAGAAAUGUUCUUCAUGAAUUAGUCAAUUCUGUUCCAUUUUUUGUUGUUUCUGUUUUCUUUGAGUGAGGCAUUUGGCUUUUCCCCUCAGCGACAAAGUGGCAAGUGAUUUAUCAUUUCUAAAUAAAACAAGUGAACUUUCACAGGAUUCAAGAAGGAUGUAAUAAAAGAUCUACCUCCGAAAAAGGAACUAAUUUUACGGGUGGAACUAAGCAGCAAGCAGAAAGAAUAUUACAAGGCUAUUCUUACUCGAAAUUACCAAAUACUAGCUCGUCGUGGUGGUGCUCAGGUAGGAUUUUGCUGUUAAAGCCAAACAUAUAUUUUCAUGCAAUUUGUGCAGGUAACAUCUAUACUUUCUUCUAUCUAGAUAUCCCUUAUCAAUGUUGUCAUGGAACUUCGCAAACUUUGUUGUCAUGCAUACAUGUUAGAAGGUGUUGAACCUGUUAAAGAGCCGGCCAAUGCUGAUGAAGGUUUAAGGUAUAUAUGCUUAUUGCCCUUUGCUUUAGCAGCUCAAAUUUGGCUUCUUUUCUCAUGUGGUGAUAUGAAAUGUGAUGCAUGCAUGAUAAAAGAACAAUUUAAAAGAAAUUAAGGAGCAGUUUCUACAUAUAGUUUUGCUGCCAUGAAACUUUAUCCUUGCACUAUUUGGAGGUCUUACCUAUCCUCUAGGUCUUACCUUUGAGGCUGGGUUGUUUGAUUGCUUAUAUUAGUACAAAUGUUUUGCAUGAUGUAGUUAACCUUGGGUUGUUCGAUUCUACAUCGCUUGCUCUUAUUAGACCAGAAUUAUCAGAUUAUGUAAAGGGAUGUGUGGGUAUGUGUGCUAUCUACUAUUAACUUGAGCAAUGCAAAGUGUUCUUUGAAACUAUCUUGGCGCCUUUAGCCUGCAAGACACCUCGCUGUCCAUGCUUGCAGCACUAAAACUUCUGCUUGCUCACUCUGAUGGUUCUAUAGGAGGUUGCGUUUGCCUAAAUGACUAUAUCAUAUCUCAAUGCACAAGUUCCAAUACUUUGAAAUACAUAAUGUAUCAAUUGCAUGUAACUUGUUUUCAUAGGCAUCUUCAAGAUGCCAUCUUUUUAAUCAGGAGACUAGAUUUCCAGUAGGUUUAAACUAUGUUAUGUUAUUUUCUAUUUUCUCCUCUUUUGAUUUUUCAGACAACUUCUAGAAACUUCUGGAAAAAUGCACCUGUUGGAUAAAAUGAUGGUAAAGCUAAAAGAGCAGGGACACAGAGUUCUAAUUUAUUCACAGUUUCAGCACAUGUUGGACUUACUUGAAGAUUACUUGAGUUACAAGGUAUAAGCCAGUAUCUUCUAUAUUAAUCUAUCUGACAAGCUAUUAGGCCCAAGUGACAUACUAAAUUUACAUAUGGUAUAAUUGUUUAAUGGAACCUAUAUACAAGAAAUGGAGCUAUGAGAGAAUUGAUGGCAAGAUUGGUGGCGCUGAAAGACAGAUACGCAUAGACCGAUUCAAUGCGAAGAACUCCACUAGGUUUUGCUUUCUUCUUUCUACCAGAGCUGGAGGACUGGGAAUUAAUCUGGCAACUGCUGAUACUGUUAUUAUCUAUGAUAGGUAAGAUCUAUCUGUUUUCCUGGUUUUAGAGAGCUUAAUUGUCCAUAUAGAAUGCUUUUAUUUGACUCUUGUUCGUAACCUAUUUUCUUGACAUCCAUGCUUUUCAGUGAUUGGAAUCCUCAUGCGGAUUUACAAGCAAUGGCUAGGGCUCAUCGGUUAGGGCAAACCAGCAAGGUUUGGAUUGGCACUUAUUGCAAUGGUUCUUAGUUAUGUCUGCUUACUAUUGGUGCUGUGUGAAAAUAUGUUUAACUUCUGCUGGCCUUUUGGCUAGUAAGAGUUAAGCUUUAAACUUUGAAGUCUCUUUAGAUUUGACAUUUUCUCUGCAGGUUAUGAUAUAUAGGCUUAUAACUCGAGGAACCAUUGAAGAACGGAUGAUGCAGUUGACUAAGAAGAAGAUGAUAUUAGAGCAUCUUGUCGUUGGCCGGCUUAAGGCGCAGGGAGUCAAUCAGGUAUUUUCUCCAAGCUCUUUGCUAGAUGGUCAAAAGUCAGUGUACAUAAUAAGCUUGUUGCUGCUUCUUUCAUGCACACUUAUUGAGGUUUUGAAUGGCAUUGCAAUUGCGAUGUAGAUUGAGGCCUUUAAGGGGUUUGACACUGUAGUUAAGAUCUAUGGAUGUCCUCAUAGUUGAAAUUAAUUCCUUGCUCUGUAGUGAGAAUUCGAUAGAUUUUGAAGUAAAGCAAAAGAAUGAAAUCUGUUUUUUUUAUAGUCUGAAAAUAUUUUCUUUGAAGCAGAUAUAAUUUUGUACACAUAUAAGGGGAGAAAUUUUGCCAAAUUAUCAUCUGCUUAGAAACUUGUUGACCAUUUUGUGAAUCGUUCUGGCAGAUCGUCAUUUUGGAAAAUUUAUCUUCUCUUGAUUUAUCUUGGUGCUGGAUACUAAGAUGUCACCUUUGUAGACCUUAUUUUUCCUGAAGUUUUGUAAACUAGUGCUUCUGUUUUGCAAGAUUAUAGAAUAGCACAUCAUUGUGGUGUCUUGCAUGGAAUUCAAUAAUCUUGAGUAUUGACGAACAACAUGCUAAUCAGCAUCUUACAUGUCAUAUCUCUAUGUUUAAACUUCUGAGGAAAUAGUGUAUUUGUUUAGAAGAAAAAGUUAUGAUGCAUGAAAAGACAGUUAUAAGGCUCAUUUUUCAUUUAUAGAUAUGCCUCGAGCCUACUUAUUUAUAAAAUGUGAACAGCAACAGUGCACUUAUCACUAUUUUUUGCUCAAGAUAAACAGUAAGAAAGCUUAAGAAAAAUUACGCAUAAUGCAUAAUCUCUUCUUGUUCUUUCUAAAUGUUCAUUUUUGUCUUGAAAAGCGAAUAAUAAUGGCAAAGAGGAUCUUUUCGUGCCUUCAUUAUGCUAUAGGAGGAGUUAGAUGAUAUCAUACGAUACGGAUCAAAGGAGUUAUUUGCUGAUGAGAAUGAUGAAGCUGGAAAAGCUCGCCAAAUUCAUUAUGAUGAUGCUGCAAUCGAUAGGUUCUAUUUCUUUUACUAAUGUUAUUGACAUCAGUCUGGAAACUGAUAUGGUACUUUUGGAUCUCUUUCUUAUGCAUUAUUAACUUUGUAGGUUACUUGAUCGUGACCAAAUAGAUGAUGAAGAGACUUUAGAUGAUGAAGAGGAGAGUGACUUUUUAAAAGGCUUCAAGGUAUUGUUUUAAUUUGUACGUUUAACUGUAGCUAUCCUUUGAGGCAGGUUGUUUUACAAAGGAAAAUAGGAAUCUUCUCAAUGGAUGAAAGUCAAAGUUUAAUAGUUGGGAAUGUUGCUUCUUGAGGAAUAUACAUGUAACGAUUAAGGAAUAAGUAUGUUGUUUAAGAUAUGAACAAUUCAUAUUCAUAUUAAUAUUCACUUUAUUUAAUAUAUGGCCAAGAAUAAUCAAAUUCAAUAGUCUUAUUGAUGGUAUUGGAAUUUUAUUUUAUUUUCUCCCCUGCUGGGCAAGAUGAUUUGAAAGCAACAUCCUCGGUUAUGUUGCCAUCUAAAAUCUAGAUGCCUCCGAGGUGAUUGUGUGUGUGUGUGUGUGUGUGUGUGUGUGUUUCUUUAAAGUAAAUAGGUUGAGCUUUGUUCGGCAACACUUCAUGGUUUUCUUAAGUUAUGCGAUUGAAUGUGCCAAUGGACACACUUGUCUGUUCUUGCUAUUGUUGGUUAGGUGGUAAACUCAUCUAAAAAAAGUGAAAAAAUUGUUAAUUAUUGUUUUUCAUUGGCACUGUAUAUAAUUGCGUACAGUCUGCCAUUUGCGAGCUUAUUCAGUUGUAUAGAAUUUUCAGAUUAAAAAAAAAGAAAAAAUAGCUGUAUCCAAACAAGGCAUAAGUUAGUGGUUUAUUUCAAGGAUUUCUGCUAUUGGUAGCUGCCGGUUGUGCCGCACCGUGCCAGUGAGGACCAGCUGAUGGUACAAGGGUGUACCAUGGCGCAACCCCAAGCCCUCUGUGCCGCAAUGUAUCUAUUACCUAGUGCCGCCACCAUUGUGCCUGCCAUGCUACUGUCCUCGUCAAGGAAUCACCAUUAUUUCUGACUGCUGCUCGUUGCAAUUGUCAUGAUGGUUUUAGAGUUUGAGUGGAGGUAGACUAAGAGAAACGGGUGUAGGUUAGCGGGCUUCCAGUUUACCGAAAUGCGCUCUGACGCGUUACUAGGGGGUUUUGAUAGACCAUGAGCUGGCUAAUCCACAUCUGGUUCUCUUAUACUCCCAUUUCUUUUACCUUAAUUUGGAACCACAUCACCUCUGUUCUCAUUUUCUCUCUCAUUUGAUUCUCCACUGUUCUCUUCUUCUUCUUUACCCAAUCCCUGUUGCCAUUUUCUUCCUCUCUACAGCUGUUGAAUGUUUUUGGCAUCGAUGAAACACCUCGACAGUCACAUAGUCAUGCUCUAGUGGCAGAAGCCAUCAUGCUGCUGCUGUGCCGGCACCGGCAUGAGGCAUGCCUGUGUGUUGUUCCGUGCUAGAGCUGAGCCAGCGCACCCCUUGCCAUCAGCAAGGAGAUCCUUGGUUCAUUUAGACCAUCAUCAGUUAUAUCUAAAAAGAAAAUGAGUAAUGUGCUGAGGAUUAGUAUUAUAAUAUAGAUUGGAGGAAUGGAUACAAGGUCUCUCUGAGACUGUAUUUAAGUAGUCAUUAUAACAUGAUACUUUUGCAUUAUUAGUUUUUUCCUUGAUUCGUUUUCUCUUUAGUACCCAUAUUGAAUAAUAAUAAUGCGUGAAGAGUGUUACAUAUUAUAGUAGCAGGACAAUAUUACAAUUGGAUUAUAUUUUGUUGUAAUUAUUUAUGAUUUGAGCAAAUGAGAUGUAUUAUUUUGCAGUUAGUAAGAAUUCGACUGAAGUCAUUAUGUGGUUCCUAGCUGUCUAAUUUCUCUCUGCCUAGGGGCAUCCAAGCUGCUCUGUUGUUUCACAUUGAGCUUUGUGUUGAAAACACCAUAAUGUUAUUAGUGGCUUAUUUCUUUAAAAUUGAUGCAAAUUAGCAGUUUAUUUCUUUAAAUAUGAUGCAUCAAUUGCUUAUCUUGACUUGUCCACUUAAUUUCCUUCUCACAUGUUUCAUAUUCAUGUUCUACUGUACUAUAUUUAUUCUGAUAAUAACCAUAAUUAUGUAAAAUUUUAGGUUGCGAACUUUGAGUAUAUAGAUGAAGCUGAAGCUGCUGCAGCAAGAGAGGAAGAGCUACGAAAACGUUCUAUGAAUGACAAAGCUUCUGGCUCUAAUGUCGACAGAGCAAACUAUUGGGAUGAAUUAUUGAAAGAUCGAUAUGGAGUACACCAAAUGGAAGAAUAUACUACUAUGGGAAAAGGAAAAAGAAGCCGCAAACAAGUAUUGCCUUGUGCUAACCCUUUUCUCUUAUCUUAUUAUAUUGAUAUUUGCUUAUUAUUAUUUUGUUAUGGUGUUAGUAUUUUCUUCUUGGUCUUCUACAACGAAUGCAUUCAAAUCCAUCUAGUUUUCUUUUUUCUUUUUUAUUAUUCUAUGGUAUCGCUUUUCUGUCUGCUCCAUUUUGUGACUUUCUUCAUUAGAAGUGCUACUUGUUUUCAAUUUUCAAGAUGGCCUAGCAAUGGAGAAUGCUGUAUACUUUUUCUUACAAAUGUGUGCAGCUGAUUGUAACAGUCUUUUAUUUUAUUCAGAUGACGGCUGCUGAUGAAGAUGAUCUUGCUGGCUUGCAAGAUGUAAGUUCUGAAGAUGAAGAUUACUGUUAUGAAGAUGACUUUUCAGAUGAGGACUCAAAUAUAGCUGGAAAUGGACCUGGGAAAAGGGGCCAAUUUUCAAAGAAGAAAGGACGCGGUAUGUUUUUAAAGCUAAUUGUAUUGUGUUUUUGUUUGGGUUGACUUGUAAUCUUUGUUACUCAGGAACUUCAAUGAUGCAUGUUUAUUAGGUUAUGUUGAGUCACCGCUGAUGGAAGGUGAGGGGCGGUCUUUUAGGGUUCUUGGUUUCAAUCAGAACCAAAGGGCUUUGUUCGUACAAAUACUGAUGAGGUGUGUAUUAAGUCUCAUGCUUAUUACAUGGCAUUUGGAAUUUUGGUUAAAUAUUUACUUCAUCAAAUCGACUCCAAAACUAGCCCUCCUUGUUCUCUAUAUUCUCUCUUCUUUUUCUUUAGUCGCAGUAUUAUGUCCAAAAUGAGAUUUAAGAUGAGCGAUUUUGGAACUAUGAUCAAUUUCUAUGCUAAUUUACGGUAAUUUAACAUAUGUAGCAUAAGGUAGAGCUGAUUGUGUAGUUAUAGAAUUACGCUUUCCUUCUUAUACGGUAGGUUUAAUGUAAAGGAUUACAAUUUGCAUGUAUAUCUGUGUCAGUUUGCACAUAAUUCUUUCAAACUUAAAUAGUAAAAUUUUUCUCCGACUGAUCACAUAUUUAUUAUACUCUCUUCUUUUUUGGUUUUUCCCCUCUCUUAUAGUUGCAUGUAUACUCUUUGGUUUGCUCGAUUCUCUUUCUUAGUUUUGAUACUCUCUAUCUCUCCCCCCUCCCUAUUAUGUAGGUUUGGCUUUCAGGAUUAUGAGUGGAAGGAAUUUCUUCCUCGACUGAAGGGUAAAACUGCUCGUGAAAUAAAAGAGUAUGCUUUUCUUUUAUCCUCCAAAUUAUGUCAUUGGAGUAAUCAACUUUUAUAUCUAUGUAUUGCUGUAUAGUAUCAUAUAUUAUGCCUAAGACUUUCCCAAUUAAAGUUAUUUGAUUCCAACUUGCCUAAGCUAACCAUUUUUUUUUUGGUUGACGCAAAUGAUUCAAGUUUAAGCAUCCGAUAGUCAAUGGGGAAUCCAUUAUUCUCUUUCUAUAUAUUAUUAUUCAAUAAAGUAAUGAUUGUGCUUGCAAAUGACUCAUUUGUGAGGAUUUCUUGGAGGAUUUCUUGGAGGAUCUACUUAGAAUCCAUGAUAAAACCAUCUAUUGCCAACACCUUCCAGUUUCCUUUUUGCAUAACCUGUGGAAGGAUCUGAUUGAAAUGGAGGAUUCCGUGUAUGAAAAUACUGUGUUUACAAUUGUUCCUUUUUUCUUCCAGGUAUCAAUGCUACCUGGUCCUUCUUAAGAAUCUUUGCAAUGUCUUCAUGUCAAUCAUUCCUACUGGAGUCUAAAUUUUAGACCAAUCUUAGCUUCCAGAACAUUUUGUUGGCAGUUAAGUAGUUUGACUCAAAAAUUUAAGUGCCCAUUGGCACGGGCCGUACCUACUGUACUGUAUCGUGCCAAUAAGAUAUCGGUACGAUAUAGCUCCCGUGCCGAUUGCACAGCUCAAAACCCUCUUUUCUUUAAAUUAGUAAGUAAUUUUCUCAAUAAAGUUCAAAAGAUUUGAUAAAGAUAUGAAAAUAAAUAUUUUAUAUCAUUAUAUGUCGGCACACAUGUAUUUUUUGUGACCGGCACGGUCCGGCACACACCAUAUCGUACUAUGCCGACAAAUUUUCGGCACGAUCCCGUACCACGACACUUAAAUCCUUAGACUUGCUUUUUUCAUUGAUCUAUAGAUUUUAAAAUAGUAGGUCAAACUUUGUUAUGGUCAUUAGAGAAUGAUAUUUCAUCUAGUAGAACUCAUGGAUUUAAGUGCCGUGGCAUGGAGUCGUGCUGGAAACUUGCCGGCACGCUUGCCGAUGCGUGCUGGUCACAAAAAAUAAAUGUCUGCCGACACAUAAUGGCACGAAAUAUUUAUUUUCUUUAGCAACAAAAUAUUCUAACGGUUUAUUAUGUAUCUUUAUCAAAUCUUUUGAACUUUAUUGAGAAAAUUAUUUACUAAUUUGAAGAAUAAAAGGUUUUGAGCUGUGUCAUCAGCACGGGGGCCGUAUCAUGCCUAUAUCUUGUUGGCACGAUACGGCACGGUAGAUACGGCCGUAGAUACGGCCCGUGCCAAUGGGCACUUAAAUCCUCCGUAGAACCCCAUGUGAAAAAUGGAAAAUAGUGGAAAAGGCGAACUUCUGAGUGUUGAAUGACUCUCAGAGCAUGUUUGACAAUAAUGAAGUUUCAUGAAGUUGGUUCUUUUCUGCGGUUGGGUUUAACCAAAAUCCCAACGAUAUACCACCAGAGGAAGUCAAAAAGCAUGAAAAUGAGGCACAUGUCCAGCAAGAUCUCACAAGUUCUGUAUGAUGCAAUUAACCGAACUCGUUACAUCCUAGUUCCACUCUAGCUAUCUCAAUUCGUCAGGAACAAAUGCACCCUUGAUUUACUUUUCUUGCGCAUAGAUGUCAGGCUCCCAAAACUAAACAUCAAUUUAAAUAGUUAUUUGUUACAUAAACUAAAAUGUUGUCAUAUACAUGCCGGCCGUUCAAACCUAUGAGCUCAGAUGUGGAUAGUACUUGUAAGCUUUCUGUGAUGAGAACAAUAUCUCACGAGAUAGGGUCUUCUCUUAGGACAAUGAAUUGCUUCACUUAGUUCUAAGAUAUAGGUAUCUCAAAUGUGAGUCUUGAUUAAUAUGGUCUGUCAUUCAUUUUCCAACCAAUUGGAUGGAUUUACUACAGAAGUAUAUAGAUCCAUCGAAAUUUGCUCUAUUUGUGCUCUAUACUUCAGUCUUUUAAGUGAAAGGUUUCUUUCUAUGACUACAGUGGAAGUAGAACCUCUAUAAGAAACAUGUUUGAUCUCCAUUAUGUUGUCAGGUUUACCCUUCUAUGAACUUGUUGGAUGGAAAGGAAAUUAAGCGUGGCGGACUAGUCUAAUAAGUUUCUGCCUUUUCCCUUUUUCUCAAACAAUUUUUUUGCUUUCUUCUCUUUGAUACUUCUUUAGUUCUGUGGUCUAGGUUGAGAGUUAUAGCAUUGUGUUCCUGAUAUUUUAUACUGCAUUAUUACUUCCAUGUUGUUAAGGAGAAAACUUUGUUUUUACGUUUUGAUGCAAAUUCUUUAGUUUAUGAUUCUGCUUUUCACAGAUAUGCAGCGCUCUUCAUGACUCACCUUCUUGAGGGUAUAAAUGACUCGGCUAACUUUUUGGGUAAUCAUGAGUAAUAUUCUCAUCUAUGUAAAUAUUUUCAUCUCAUUUGCAAUAGCAUUGUUAAUUUUUUAUUUUCUUUUCAAUUUAGAUGGUGUUCCAAAAGAAGGACUCCGCGUAGAUGAUGUAUUGGUCCGACUUGCAAACAUUAAUCUAAUAGAGGAGAAGGUAUGUCAUGCCUGCAUUAGUUUACUGUUUCUCUAGCAACUAUCAAUUCUGAUCCUCAUACCUUUUUUUUGGAUAGAUUCGUACGAACUUAGUGUUAUUCUAGGUAAUAGGUAGUUUUUGCAGUAGGACAUACAUAUUAUAUUGUGUAUGUGAUUGUAACAAUUGCCCUAUAUUGCAUUUAACAUAAUAGAUUCAUCGAUAUUGCAGGUGCAGUACAUGUCAGAAAACCCUGGCGCUAAACUCUUUCCUGAAAAUAUAAUAGCUCAUUUCCCUAGCUUGUUGUUUGGGAGAGUAUGGAAGGUGGAACAUGAUUUACUCUUAUUGAAAGCUAUGCUAAAGUAUGAACUUCAUCCUUCUUUUGCCUAUUCAUUUGAUAUCUUAAUAUUUCUAAUUUGUCAAAAUGGCAUCCACUUGGCCUAUCAUAUACUAAAUUUGUUCACGUAAUAGUCUUUUUUUUUGGGGGCAACAACUAUGAAAACAGAACCCUUUGUCCGCAUCUUGUUAUGGACCAAACCUGAUAAGUAAUGGUAACUAGGGACCUAGAUAUGGAAUAAUAUGUGUUCAGUCCUAUGCUGCUUUUUGCUUUGUAGUUUGUACCUUGUAAAACGCUUGGACCUCUGAAAUGCGAAUACCUCAUAUAGUUCAUUUCAGCAUCCAAAAUAUGUUUCCUUAAAUUUGGUCACUCUUCUUUGGCAUUAUAAAUUUCCUGUUAUGUCGCAGUUGAUGGCCAAUGAUGCAAUUGUUGAAGGUAUAUUGAAGUAUUCCCACUACAUCCUUAACCGUAUGGUUUUAUGCUUUUGGCCAUUCUUUUGGCAUCUUCUCAAAAUCCUAAUCUUGAGUGCUCUGUUCUGGAACCUGCUCGCCACCAUGCAUCCAAUUAUGUGCACAAUCCCUGAGCUGCAUAUUUGUUUAUAUUUUCCCUGUAUAGUUAUGUGCGACAUUCUGUCAUGUCUUUUCUAAGGACAUAGGGUAUAUAGUAAUACAAUGCUAUUAUUAGGUUGAGCACAUUCUCUUUCUCUGCUUGCUGUCAGUGCAAGAAGAAUAUAGAGAAAAUGAGAAAUUUUUUUUUGAUGUUUCUAUAAUUGUGUAGCCUCAGCUUAUGCAUAUUCUUGAAGUUAUAGCCCAUUUACUUCUUUAGACUCUCGAUGUAAUAUUUCUCCUUCCAAUAUCUUUGGUCCUUCUUUAGCAACACUAACUGUAGCCCCUUAGCUGCCUUAAUAACAUAGCUUACUCAAGAAACACUGGUGGUUCUUUACAUAGCAGCAUUUAAGUAUUAAAUGACUAAAGUAGACAAGAGGGUCAUGAACUUUAGGUAAUGCACCAACUUUUUGCAUCGGGUUGCAAAAUCAAAAUUUUCACAUUCUGUCAAUGUUUUUGACCAUCUUCCAGACCACGUCAACAUAGUCAACUAAACUCAACAUUCAACCCAUGUGAAAAUUUGUAUGGACUCGAUUUUGGCACUCAAUCAUAUUUCAGACUUGGUUCUCAUCCCCAGCAGUCCAAGCAAUAAAGCUUCUCCUUGCCUAUGCUGCAUCUUUCAGCACAGCUAUUAUAGUUUGAACUCAGGAUAUCUGUAAACCACCUCCUUUACUACACUGCCUCCUCUCACAACCCCUAGUUGCUACAGCUGCUAUAGUUAGCUCUCAAGAUUAUUUGGCUUCCCUCUGCAGUCUUUUGUUAAAUUUUGUAGCACCUACUUAUUUUGGUACUUUCAGGCAUGGCUAUGCAAGGUGGCAAUCUAUAAUGGAUGAUAAAGAUAACGGGCUUGCCGAUCUUGUUCGUCAAGAAUUGAAUCUUCCUUCUUUAAAUGGAAACUUUACAGACACUUCUCAGACAUUUGAGGGUGGGAAUUCUGCUUGCACCACUGCCAAUGUCAGUAUCUCCUUUCGAGUACCCAAUACUUUAGUCUACUAUAUAAUAAUGAAAGGACAAUGAAAUAUUUUUCGCUUCUUUUCUUGCAGGGAACUCCAGAAGCUGCCAAGGGAAGCCAGUUAGGUCCAGACUAUGCCACAUUGUAUCAAUACAGGGAACUACAACGUAGGAUGGUCGAGUUUAUAAGAAAGCGAUAUCAUCUUUUGGAGAAAUCCAUGAACCUAGAAUACGCUAUGGUGCGUUUCUUUUAUACUUCUAAAGGUCAAAGAUUUAAAGUACCUUUUUUAUUAUCUUUUUUUUUUUUUUUUUUUUUUGUUGGGGGCGGUGGGGGGUUCAUUGUCUAUCUGGCUAUGUUUGUUUCUCUAUUCUUUAGUUUCUGAAGCACCUGAAGAACACCUUUUGUUGCUUCUUUUGUUUCCUUAAAGAGUAGUGAAGCUUCAAGUUUUUUUUUCAGAAAAUUUGCAUGCCAUAUUUUUUUUCUUUUCCUUUUUUUUUGUCUUGUUCUGAUGACUGAUUCUCCGUAUUUUUGGCUCUUGGCAGAGUAUAACCAAAACUAAUGAGCUUACAGACCACGAUCAAGAUACUGAAUCAAAGGUUGCUGAAGAGCAGCAUACCAGCUCAAUGUUGAAGGAGUUGCCUGUUUUGGAACCAAUUUGUAAGUGAUCUCUCACUAUUUCUUUCUAAAGGAAACUCGAAUGAAUUCAAAUGUUGGAAAAUUUGGAAAUAAUUAUGUUAUUGAUCUUUUUGCUAAGGGCUGUUUGGUUUCACGUAAAACUGUGAAAAAAAAAAUUUGUGGAAAAAUUUUUUUGGAGGAAAAUAAAUUUUACACUCUUUAGCGUUUGGUUUGUAGGGAAAGAAAAUAGUUUUCCAUUACGAUUACGGUUGUUUGAUUGAAAGGAAAAAAAAAGGAAGAUUUUAUAAAUGGAAAAUUAUUAUAUGUAUUUUUUUUUCUUAUCUUAUAUAUUAUAUAUCAUUGCUAUAUAUAGUCCUGCUAUGGUGCUUUUAAAAGCACCAAGCAUUUGGUGCUUGUAAGUUUUCCGCCGUUAGAUCCACUCGUUAGAUCAUACUAUUCAACCAACCACCCACUCUAUUCUAGGGGACCAUAAUCAUCCUAACUGCACAUCUCUUAAUCCAAGGGUCUAAAACCUACAAGCACCAACGACUUGAUACUUUUAAAAGCAUAGGAGGUCAAUUCUAUAUAUAUAUAUAUAUAUAUAUAUAUAAGAGGGAGAGAGAGAGGUCCGCCGUGGACCUCUCUCAUGCAGUCCACACGAUGGAGCGGACCUCGUGGACCGCAUGCUGUAGCUCCCCAACGCGUUGUGCCCAACACCACGUGUUUUUGCUUUCCACUUGAAGAGAUCGGAAAACAAAAACCUCCGUUUUCCUUACAAUCUGUAAAAAAAAAAUUUCCGAGAAAUUUUUUUUACAAGCAACCAAACACCGGAAUGUUACUUCUCAACCAAAAAAAAAAUUUCGGGGUGAUUUUACCAGGAACCAAACACACCUUAAGUUGUAUAGAUGUUACUAUGUUAGUCUUCUUUCACAGAAUAAUUUCAGUAUGCCCAGUAAUGUGCGUCAAAAUCCUGGAGUACUACUAUAAGGUUGACAGUUAGAAGUUCAGUUAACAAAUGUUGGAAAAUUUGGAAAUAUUAUGUUAUUGAUCUUUUUGCUAAGUUGUAUAGAUGUUACUAUGUUAGUCUUCUUUCACAGAAUAAUUUCAGUUUGCCUAUUAAUAUGUGUCAAAACCUACGUAUCACGAACACUUUUAUAAGCCUUGCGUGUCCAUGUCAGACACGCGCAUGUCCGUUUGGACACGUGUCCGAUGUGGACACUCUUUGAACGCGCGUUUAAUGCCGAUCCAUAGCACAUACAAUUAAAAGAAAUAUAAACCUAUUUUUAUUUAUUUUUUCUAUGCAUAUAUAAUGUAAGAUAAUAAAUAUUUUAACUUUUUGAUGAAUGUAUAUAAUUUUUUUUGACAAUAUAAAUAAAUUAUGUGUGGUGGAGAAUUUUUUUUCUUAAAAUAUAUGAACUAUUAAUGAAAAUUUCACUAACUUUCAUUUGUAUGCGAAAUAUAAUAAUAUUUUACCAAAAUUAAUAUUUUAUAUAUAAUAAAAAUAUAUUAUUAUAUUAAUAUUAUUUUAUUUUAUUAGCGGUGUUCAUGCCGUGUCCGUGUUCUAAUUUUUUGAAAGUUGCCGUGUCGCGGUGUCCGAGUCGUGUCGUGGCCCGUGUCUCGUGUCAGUUUCCAUGACGCCUAAGUCAAAACCCCCGUGUACUAAUAUAAGUUUGACAGUUAGAAGUUCAGUUAACAAAUGAUGGAAAUUUUGGAAAUAAUAUGUUAUUGAUCUUUGUGCUAAGUUGUAUAGAUGUUACUAUUUAAGUCUUCUUUCACACAAUAAUUUCAGUAGGCCUAGUAAUAUGCUUCAAAACCCUGGAAUACUAAUAUAAGUUUGACGGUUAGAAGUUCAGUUAAUUUUUGUUCUUUAGGAUUCUGUUCUUAACUUUCUAUGUGUUAUAUCCUACUAAAAGCAAACAGUAUUAAAUGCUUUAUGUUUUAGGAUCCUACUAGAGCUUUUUUUUCUCCUCCAUACCUGUCUUCUGCUGUCCUCUCUGUUGCAUAGUUGUUUCUACUGUUUGUUAUUUUCUGAACAGUUAUUUGAUUUACCUUUGCAUUCUUCUCAUAGAUUGAAAGUCCUAGUUAUCUUGUCAUUUUUGAGAUAUAGGUUUCAAGUUCUUCACAAUCCAGUCCAUACAUGUAACUUGCACUGGUAUUGCGCAAGUCCUUAAAUCAAUUGACACAAUCUCUGUAAUCACCAUGACUUGUAACCACUGAAAAUAAAUCUCUGAAUCAUGAUAAAACACAUCAUAUGGUGAUAUACUGAUAUGUCUACUUAUUUCUUUCCCUAAUUUCCAAGCCUGCUAUCACAAGAUGGCAGCAGAUGGUGCAAAAAAAAGCUACAUGUGGUAAUAAAGAAGAGGAUCGAAGCGAGAGCAGUAGAAAAUAAAAUACGAUAAAAACUGAGUCAACUUGGUUAUGAGGAGAUAGGAGAAAACAGGAGGGCCGAUGGGGGGCCGUAGGCGAAGAUCAGGGAGCCUAUUGGCUGACUAUGGUGAUCGAAAACAUUUUAUAUCUGCCAACCUUGUUGAUUGUUGUGAUGAUUUUUUUCCAUUCUUUUUGGAAUACUUUGUUUAUGCCUUCAGAAAACCCACUAAUUGCCGACAUCACGUGGGAUAUACUCUCAAACCUGCUUUUGGUGCAGUUUUUCUUCAAUUAAGUUGCAUAGGGAAAGAGUAAUUCCUGGGCUCCGUACUUUUUCUUUUUCGUUUUCUUUUACCUCGUGAGAUGUCUAAUAUCUCCAAGGGUUGGAGCUUGCUAACCAGAGUCCCCUUUCCAGCUGUUGAUGAACCUGCCAACAAUCUCAAGCCUGAUAAUGUAGAAGCAGCUUUGCUUUAUAAUAAGGUAUUUAUAAACAGUUUUAAUUAGUCAGAUUACAUCCACUCCUUCCCCAUUUACUAUUAAUAAGUGCAAUCCUUUUAAUGAUUCCAGCUAUGUAAAGUAGUUGAAGACGGCGAAACUGACUUGCUCCACUCACAUCUUGGGGACAAGAUUGCGGGUUCCAGGUUACAGGAUAAUCUCCGCCAACUCGAAUCGGCAUGUGAAGAUUUAUGCCGGUUUCUUUCAGUGCAAGAACAGACUGUUAAUUCUGCAGAAGCAGUAAAUGCCGAUGCUGCUGAUCGGAAAGCUGGAGCUAAAGCAGCAUCACCAGCUCAUGCGUCAACUUCUGCGGCGGAAGCUAUGGAUUGUUCAUCGAACGAAGUGGAUGACGUCAAAACAGUGGAUAAUUUAACGGAGAGGGUGACAGCUGUCGAUGAAUGAGUGAGAUUCUCCUUACAGGUGGUAUUACGAACAUUCCUGCUAAUUGAAUCUAACUGUUGUUGUGUAGGAUAAAGCUUUCCACUUCUGAUUUCUAAUAUACUAGUUCCAUAUAAACUCUUUUUUCGCCGGAUUAAAAUAUCAGAUCAGUUUCUCUUUUCUUUUUCUUUUUUUGUUUAUUUUGUUGUAGCCAAUCAUGGCAUAAUCUGAAUGGUUUUGUAGAAUCCCAUGCGAUAUGUAUUACGAAAUAUUAUAGUUUCCUUAUUAUUGUUAAUUUUGUUCUUCAUCUUUGUAGGUAAGAUAAAUGCCCCCGCAAAUCACAGGAUUUGUGAGUUUUAGUUUACUGAUGAUUUCAAUAUGUGAUCCUUGUAGUACAACUGCUCAGGACCAUUUUCUAUGCACGCAGUUUCCUGCAAAUGUUAUGUGAUUUCCAUUGUUUUCAGAGCUUAAAACUGUAGGCCGUUUUGAAACAACUUUAGUUCUUUUUUUUUUCUCUCUUAUUGACAACUUAAGAUGCUUUUGAUUUGAAAUGUUUUCCUAAAUCAAUGGCUCCACUAGCUAGGUUUUUCAUUGACACUUGACAGCUCCUUUUUUCCUUUGAUAUUUUUCGAUUUUCCAAAUUGAGUGGGGAUCUGCUAAAAUUAACGACUUUGCUAGCUAUUUUUCUUUCAUCGACAUUUCCUUGGACUUCAAUUCUUUUCUUUUUUUUUUCAAUUUGAAAUGUCUUCCUAAAUUGAGUAGGAUUUGUUAAAAUUAGCGGCUCUACUGUCUGUCAGACAAUGAUAAUUACUAGAGACUUACGAUAUAGUCUGCUUAUUAAACAUUAAGAAUAGUCGAAUUAGACAAGUUUGCUGCUAAAUUGAAAAAAUAAUCUAGUAAAUAAAAGUAUGUUAAACUAAAACGUUAACGUUAACAGAUGAUCAUGAGAAGAAAAAUAGUUAAAAGAUUUCCCAUCUUUAAAGUCUAACUGUGAUGGUAGCCUAAGAACUUUUUUCUGAAAGUAAGCUUGCUGCCCCGUAAACAUUUAGUAAUGUGUUAAUUGGUUUAUUCCAUUAUCCGGUAUUAAAUUUGUUAACAAAAGGCUAAGGAGUAGACACAAAAAAAAAAAAAAAAAAAAAAAAAAAAAAAAAAAAAAAAAAAAAAAAAAAAAAAAAAAAAAAAAAAAAAAAAAAAAAAAAAAAAAAAAAAAAAAAA